rnacentral:lncRNA from 1 species
AUUAAUUAAAACCUAUUAAUCCUUCCUCUCCUCUUCAUCUUCUUCGUUGGGGGGCCUUUAUUAGAAUUAGAGUCAGAGACUCAGAGUAGGGUUAAGGUUAGGGUCUCAACGUUCGCCUCUCUCUCUCUCUCUCAUAUGCUUCUCUCGCACAACGGCGCGCGCGCGCACAGCACACACACACUUUCCUCUCUCUUUGUCGUCGUCGUCGUCGUCGUCGUCGUCUAGCAUCACAAAUCAUCAUUGGAGAAUAGAUAGUGUCGGUGCGCGAAUUAAUGGAGGCGGCGCAUUCGUGUGGAAGGGGAAGGUGGUGGCGAAUAGAGUGCGUGGGGGAGGGUCGAAGCGGAGGAUGGGGCCGGGGGGGAGGAAUGCUGCGGUCACGGGGAUCGCUGUGAGGAGAUCAAGAUCGGGCUGCGCGCGGCGUGCGGGCUGCCGUUCAAGGGCGGGACGCCGGGUGCAGAAGCUGCUGUCACGGCGCCUCAAGCGCGGCCGCACACCUCCAUGCGACUGCGCGUCCGCCCGCGGCCUUCGAGCCGCAUCCGUCUGCGCCGAGCUGCAGGCCUGCAUCGUCCCCCACGACCCCGCCGCCAAGCGCCGCUACGUCCUCCGCUCCAUCCACGACCCCAACUACGCCGUCCGCUUCGCCGACCGCUCCGAGACCGACUGCAUCGCCUUGCAGGGUAUAUAUCAUCUAAAGAUUUUCGAUAUUUACACGAAGAAAUAUGCUAUUUAUGAGAAUAAUAGUAAUUUUCUAUAGCAUCAAAUAUUUAAUGGUAUCGAUAGUAUUAUAAUCAUAUUCUCUCUCUCCAUCUCUCUCUCUAUAUAUAUACUAUUGUGGUAUUUUUACAUCAAUAAUAAUUUUCUCCAAAAUGUUAUUAUGAAUUUGAAAUUACUUAUCAAUAGAAGACAAGUGGAGUCAGAUAAAAUAAGAUGCGAUCCAAGUGGCCGGGUGUACGUCACUAAUUCAUUUUUAUACGUACUAGCUCUUCAUUCUAUAGACAAUGAGUAAUGAAUCACCUUGUUAAUUAGUAAGAUACAUUCUUAGAUAAUGGACCUUAAUGUUUAUUUUAGAUUUAGAUGAUAGAAAUGCAUUAAUUGCUAUAUCCUAUAAGUUUCUUACCCAAUGGUGUGAAUACCUGUGUGAACAAUUUGGUACAUCCUAGCCUCCUUUUCUGAUAUUGGCUGGCCGACAAUGAAUAGCUCAGAUUCCAUCACUCCUUUUCUGAUAGCUUUUUUUUGUCGAAAUGUAGUGCAAAAUUGGCUUUAUGUGAUUGACAAAACAAACAAAAUAUGUUGUAGCUUGGUGACAAUUAAUGCAUCAAGAUUUAAAGUGCAGUGGUACGGGGACAUACUACUGUUUGCCUUAUACGAUACGGCAUCGGCAGGCUUUCGUGUCAACACAUGAUACGCUUGCGUGCUGAUAAAUACACAUGAUUUUUUACUAGCACGCUUUGUCACAGAUUUAUUUCAAUUUUUUUUUUUUUGUUUCAAUAAGUUCUUAUAAUAUUAUUUUAAAAAAUUUAAUCAAAUAAUUAUAAAUAUUUGUUAUAUAUAGUUUAUUAUAUUUAUCAAUUAAUAUUCUUGUAGACUUUUUUGUAUGAAAAGUAUAAAUAUACCUAAUGCAAAAUAAAAAUUUUUAUAUGUUAGAAUUUUUAAAAUGUAAAAAUAUUUUCCUUUCUUCCUUUUGAUUAUAUUAUAGUCUUUCUUUUAUAAAAUAAAAAAAAUAUAUUUAAAAAAAUAUUUAUUAAUUUUUUAAAAAUUAUUAGAUUUAUCAAAAAAAAUAAGCAAUAAAUUAUAUAAUAGAUAAAUUAAAUAAAUUUAAAUAUCAAUUAAUUUAAUUUAGUUUUUAAUUUUAUCAGUAUUUUUAAUUUUUUUAGCGCAAAAAUAAAAUUUAAUAUUUAAUGUGCCGCAAAAUUUAUUUAUUGACUUUAAUUUUGUUCUCUUAAUUCGUCAAAAGUUAAGCGGUGUAAUAAAUUUUGAAAAAAUAGUUUGUGAAGAAAAAAUAAAUGUCUGUGGUAUAAGGGAAGGGCUUGAGUCAUAGGUUUCUUAUGGUAUGGAUCAGAUAUGUAAAUUGAAAAUUUGAUCGUGUAUUGAUAAACAAAAAUUAAAUUAUAAUUUUUUAUCUAAUANAAAAAAAAAAAAAAAAAAAAAAAAAAGGCAAAAAAGGAAAAAAAAAAAAUGCUAGCACGGUCGUGAGAUUUCUAGGUGGGUGCCACGACACAAUGGGAAGUGGGGACCCACCCGUGUACCAUGCCUCCCAAGAUGGGGGCAUAGUACGUGCCGCCCUCUGCCAUACGGUACGGGACAGCACUUUAAACCUUACAAUACAUAUUAUAUUUAUAAAAUUUUAAAAAUUUAAUGAAUUAAUAUAUUUUAUGGCUAUAAUUAAGUUUAGGGCUAAGAAGAUAUCAGUAUUUAAACCUUGUAAUUUUGACUUAGCAUAUCACAAGUUUAGAAACAUUUUUCUUCGGAAAAUACUGUUUAUAAAUUCAAAGGUAAAGUGUAUAUUUUACAUUGCAAUAAUUCUUUUGAAUUUUUAUUUUUGAAAAAUAAGAUUAUGAUAAGACUAGUGUGAUAAUAUUGAUCUUUAGAUUAAUACAGUAAUAUUUACACACGCUUUUGGAUGCAGUAUUGAUAGAAAUGCUUUUUUAUAUUGAAAUGCUAUUGAUAGAAAUGCUUUUUUAUAUUGAAAUGCUUUUGGAUGCAGUAUUUACACACGCUUUUAGAUUAAUAAGAUUGAAAUGCUUUUUUAUAUUGCUUCUCAGAUAAAUAAUUAUUUUGUCAAACUCUAAAAAGCCUCCAUUGGACAUUUAUUGUCCUUUUCUUUAGAAUUUUAUUAAAAAAAAUUAUUGUGGGUGAUUUUUUUUUCCUUUUUUAUUCCUGUCAUCAUUAGCUAACUUGCAACAUAACUCAACCGUCAAAAAAAAAAGAGGGAAAAAUCAAAUUAUCAUCAAUAAUUUGUUGAGGCCUAAAGUCAUUUUUAUCACUUCUAAAUUAAUUACUGACAGAAGACAAACAAUUUAAUUACCCCAAUAAUUUUCAGUAAGAAGGGAAAGUGCAAUUAUAUAUGUAGCUCUUAUUAUUACAUGACGAGUAGAUCUAAUAACGUGCGAUAUAUAAUACAUCAAUAUGUGCGAUAAUUCUUGGACUGUUGCUUGCUAUAGUGGAUGAACAUGUCUUUUGAGUAGAUCACAAACAAUGAAGUAAAUAAAUAUCCAUUGUCUAUUGCUGUAGUGUGGAUUAGUUAUGCUUCUUAAUUUCAUAUCCUUUUCGGUUUGCCCAGUGCUCCAAGCAUCUAUACACCGGCGAACAGUUUAGUUUAAUUUGCCUUGACCAAUUGCCGCAGCGACUUUGUUUGUUCACUCCGCGGAGCCUCCACUCGGUUGACUUACUGAUCAGUUGACUUCACGAGCCCUCAUGAAACAUAUGUAUUCUUGUUUUAAGUGUGACACCCUCUGACCGACCGUUCCUAGAAUAAGUGGCAAAGAACUUUGUACUUGAUAUCCGAGAUUUCAAGUUCGAAUUCUAAUUAAUUCAUAUUUUCAGCUAAGUUUAUUUUUAAAUAAAUAAAAUAAACGAAUUAGGUAGCGUGUUAUUUAUUUCUAAAAAAAAGAAAAAAAAAAAAGCGUGACACCCUCUGGAACGCAUUUUUAGUCCUUUUAGAUUAUAUUUUUGACAAUAAAAGGUGAAAAUGAUGCUAAGUAAAUACAUUGUACACUGAAACCACAAUUGGAGGAUCACAUCAUCAAGCAUUGUCUUUUCUGUGUGUUUAUUCGUUUACGUGAAGGGUCGAGGAGCUCGCAGGUGGCGUGCGCGCUGAGCCGGGCGCAGCUGCAGGACGGGUACGUGGCGUACCCGUGGGAGAGGAAGAUGAGGGAGGCGCUGCAGACGGCGGCGCGGCCGAGCUCCAGCAGGUUCCUCUCGGCGCUCAUCCUCCCCCGGGCGCUCGACCCCGCCGCCUCGCGCUACAGCUCCCUCGACGACACCCUCGCCCGCGCCGACGCCUGGCUCCGCUCUGCCCAGGCCUCCGGCGUCCCCAUCGUCUUCACCAACGUCCAAACCGAAGCCCUCCUGACCAAGGUAGGUUCCUACGAACUAAUACAUGUGUAUGUCCUAGUUCUAUAAUUCGCAUUAUAUCCACAAAUCGGAUGCUUAUACGUUGACCUUCCGCCCCCCCCUGCAUGCAUGAUCUACUUGUGCAGAUAUCAGGGGAGACGGCCUCCGCGACGGUAAACUCGGGAUCGUUGGCCGACCUCUCCAACCUCGCGAAUGCCAGCCUGUACGGCUUCGAGGACUACCACGGCGUCGACAUCGGAGUCGUGAAGGCCGUUCGGCUCUGGUACGCCCCUGCCGCCGGAGAACUGGCGGUGGAGAUUAGGCUUCGGAGCGGCGACACAAAGCUGGGCUUCGCCAUCGGCCGCACCGAAGAGGUCCGUCCCCCUAGUUCUAUCUAGCUAGUUUGUCUUGGAUUGAAAUCAAACUUUAGAGACUGAUUAAGUUGCUACACUUGUGGCCGACAAUAUAUCAACUUUCAAACACUACCUACCUGCCAUCUACUGAUUGAUAACCCCGUAGUGAUUAGUGAUGCUUAAAUCUUAUCAUCGGGAACGAAGCUCGAACCAUUCUGUUUUUUCUUUUCUGUGUUUUCUUCACAGGGUUUUAUCUACAUAUCUUCUGUGACCGAUGAUGACGGCCAAGACGGCGGCGAGGUCCCCUCAAUGCGAUCGGGGCUCAGAGAUCGCUACAACGAAGCGAGGCGCGCGUCGAAGCUCCUCGUGAUUUCGCGGGUGUCUGGCGAGAAGGUGCUCCCCUGGAUGGUAUCGUCGUCGGGAGCCGUCCGCUGCUUCGACACCAUCUCCCUCAGCCAGAAGCUCUCAUUGCACCGCCACGCCCUGUGCCCCAUCCUCCUCCACCUGCUCGCGUGGGAAAAGCCCGUCGUCAGCAGGGUGGUGGCACGGGCCCUGUCGGUGCAGCCGCCGCCGUCGGAGCUACCACUGAGCUUAGUCCCCACACCUGCUGCUGCCGAGUCUCAGCUAGGGUUGUUAGACACCGCAGCGUGGGAAAAGCCCGUCGUCAGCAGGGUGGUGGCACGUGCCCUGUCGGUGCAGCCGCCGCUGUCAGAGCUGCCACUGAGCUUAGUCCCCACACCUGCUGCUGCCGAGUCUCAGCUAGAGUUGUUAGACACCGCAGGGAACGUGUCCUUCAGAUUUCAUGAUAACUCCCCGCCAAAUAGUAGCUGGGUCUAAAGGAACAGGGACUUUUCUGUAGUUGUACAUUUUCAAUGUACAUGUGUGUUAAAGCGAGCUUCUGUUUUUAAUACCUAGCUUAAUUUAAUUACUCCUUGUUUUUUAUGUUUACAGGACAUACACAUAUAUCAUCACUAAAGUGAAUUAAUUGUAAAUUGAAUGUCUUAUGCAGGUGCUGGAAUGACCUAGUUAGCCGAGUUACAGAACUAGUGAUGAGCUAUUAUUAUAUGUGAAUACCAUAUUAUUCUCUUUACCAAUGCUCUGUUACCGAAAUUAAGCAAAAGUGAAAAAAAGCCCAUGUGCUAUUCCAGGAAACUUCAGAUUUUCUACCUGACGAGUUGAGGGAGAAUGCAGUAUCAGGACAUUACAGAAACUUAUCAACAAAUUUCUUAUCAAAAUUUCGCUAUCAAAUCUUCUAAUGCUUCAUCCCAAGAUUGAACGCCGCCGCGCUGACCAUACCAUGCCGUUCCGACAGAGUAUCUGCACUAUAUGAUCUCAGUACCCAUAACACGGCUCAGACUAACACCCUGACACACAUGAACAAUAUCCAAAUCAAACAAGGAAGCAACUAUGAAAGGAUAACUAAUUAGACAAACAAGCCUGUAAAUUGUACAAGAGCCUCCUCUAGCCGAUGAUAUGUUACAACUUUGGCACACGAAGAGCAACAAGGUAUUCUGUAUCAUUUACCAUAUUGUCCUCACUCUACAAGACUAUAACACUCCAAUUGGUUACAAAUGCUAGUCAGCUGAAGUACCACACUUUCCAGUUUCUGAACAUACGAAAGAACAGCACAAAUGUUAAAUUCUUUUUCCCUCACAACUAUACCCAAUAGAAAAAGAAACAAGGGGGGAAAAAAUUACAGCAUGGGGAUCAAACACAGAUUAGAGGCCGCUAGAUGUGGUGGUGAUGAAGUCAAUGGAUGCGAGUUACUAAGCCAUGGAAUGGUACCUGCAGAGAACCCUGCAUCUAAGCACCCUAUCAUGGACAUAAAAUCCGGGCAUUACCAUGAUCUUUACUUGAUCGGGGGCCCGCGCUCUGUCCCUACUAUCUAAGAGAAUGUUCUCCAUAUAGAUAGGGUCGAAUUGUCGAUCCUCGUCAACCCGCAAUAUCACCAAGGGCGGGUUGAAUGAAAAGGCCAGCAAAUGGAGCAACCAAAUACAUUUAGCCGCUACAAAGAAGCACUGGAGAAGCUGCUCCGGCCAAGGCCGACACCAAUUUAGAGCGGAAACAAUGCAAUUCAUCUUUUGAUCACAGAACCUACUGAAGUCCUCACUGUAAAACUUUGUCCCCUUUUGUAAUACUUCAUUCCAACUCAAAUUCCUAAGUGCGACGAAAGCCGAGAAUUUCUCUUGGCGAUCUUUCUUGGGGUCCAAAAAUUUUGGGGAGCCAUUUGUCUGGAAAGUGCAGUUUUCAAAGUCCUGAUAGAGAGAUUGGUUUAUGAGAGCUUCCAAAUGAUACAAUACGCCCUUCGAGUACUUGUUGCUCGGCGUAAUCUGAUGUGGAUGGAUAAGCAAAUUUAGCUUCUCUAGCAGAUCGCAGUCGGCUUCUUCGAUCUGGUGGAUAAGUGCUUUGCAAAGGUGCUUCACGGAAAGCCUAGCUUCUGAGACUAUCUGCAAGAAGCCCUCGACCAUCACUUCACGGCUCACGGGCAUGGAAUUGUCAAUGCUGCCGCCUAUGGACUUUGUUCUCCUCGAAAUGUAGGGCUUAUCCGGAAGCUGGGUGCUAUUAUUAUUUGCAUGAACUGCUUGUUUCAGAGCCUUCUUUAGUUCUUUACAGUGCGAUUCCAAGCUCACUAGCUUGUCUGUUAAUUCUCCCAGUGAAGAUUUCAUCUCUGUGACCUCUCUAAGAGCAGCAUCCCUAUUCUCAUUGGCCUCAAGCAACUCUUUCUUUAAGGAUUCAAUCGAAAAAACUCCCCAUUCCUUCAAAAGCUGGGACAUGUUCUCGGACUCUGCAGCACUUGGUGAAGUAUUUGGUUUCGGUUUCUUCUUUGAUUUAGGGAACAACCAAGAAAGGAUCGGCCCCUUGUGCUUUGCAUUUGACUGCGUGGAUGGCUGAACAUUGGGGAAAAAUGUCACUUUUGUAUUGUUGUCCUUGAGGUUCUUGUAAUCGCUCUCUGGUCCCCUACUGAUUGUGGCCGGCUUGCACGUAUUGCAUGUCGUGACUGGUUUAAAGUCACCUGAAUUGGUCCUCCUACUAGAAGACCUUACGAUGCUAUUACUAUCAGCCGAAGGAGCAGUUUGCAAGGGGACAGUGUGGUUUAUGCAUGAGGUUCUGUUUGACAAGGGCUCACUUGGAAAACAAAUCUGCGACUCACUAAAAUUACUUGCAUUUUUGAAAUCCGAGGAAACUGAUUCGUCAUCUCCACCUUCUCCUUCCAACCCAAUACCACUCCAAAUUUCCGAUAAGCUGUGGUUCUCUGGACGGAUGUAGUUUAAUGCAGGUAAGGGUUCCUCUUCAUAACUCUGUCGAAUAUACCAACAGAACCAGAAGGAAAAUAAGAGAAAAAAAGGAAUGAAAAUUUGUCACUAUGAACAAUUCAAUGUAGAUUAUUAGUUUAUAUUUCGGCAGAUGCAUCUCUAAUCAACAUGGAUCUGUAACAAGCCCUGUAUCUAUUUUAGGAUUCUGAAACUCUAUUUUACACAUUACUUAAAAAAUAAAAACAGAAAGAAAAACAAAAAAAGCUUGCAUCACAUGAAUCAAGGAGGAGCGGCAUGCUGACCGUUAGAAGCAAAGAAUGCUGAAUGAAGAGUGCAUGUUUACUUCUAAUUUUGGCGGACAAAGCUACAAAACAAGUCGACAGUUCUAAACCAUUCAAUUCGUGUCAAUAUCCCAUCGAUAUCAUUUUUUCUUGAAUCGAGGUACAAAUGUAUAAAAUGUUUCUUCUCAAGAAGUUCCAAGUAAAGCAUGAAAGCAGGAUUAAUUAAAAGUCAUGCAAAACUAAAAGGGUUUUCUACCUUAGCCGAUAAGUGUUCUCCCCUAGAAAAUAUUAACACAGGUAGAAUGAAUCCCAAGAGAAGCAAAAGGUGAGAGGGCUAGUCACGACUAUCGGACCUUACAAUUUUGGUUUUUCUCACUGUUAUUUUACAUAAAUACGAUUGAUGUUGGAUCCGCCGAGUUCAUGAAGAACCUCCACAAAUAAGAUCAGCCCAAAGUAGCAUGUAAACAUGCAGCACCCUGACAAAUUUAGGGCGCCGCGCGGCGCCGACACAUAUAGCAUCAAAUAGCAAACCUAGAACAUUCAACUGCAUAAUGAACGAAGGAGAAAAUGAAAAAAGAAGCUAAAACGCCAAAAAUUCAAUGGAGAGAAAACUUGCCCCAGAAAUGUAAAUCCCAGGUUUAGUUACUCCUAGAAGUAAGGUUUUUUUUUUUUUUUUUCUUUUUUAUUUCUUUUUUAUCAAAAUAAUAAUUACAGAGAAGUCCUAAACUGACAAAUUACAAACAGAGAGAAAAUUCCCAAAAACGAUUGCGUAGUAAUAAGCGGAAGGAAGGUAAAUUGACCUCACAAUUCCACCACAAACCCACCAUAAAUCGCAAAACCCAGCAAUAAAACGGAGAAAUCCCCAACAAGUUGCCACCUUUACCAGAGAAACGCAAUCCCCCGACCCCAAAAGCCAAAACCCAGAAGCGAAUUAUAGAAUGGCGGGGUUAAAAUAAAAUAUAUGUAAAAAAAAGAAAAGAAAAAGUCAAAGAGCUCACCGGGGUGAAGACCGGGUACUCCUCGGCGGAGAACUGGUUGGGAACCCUAGAGAGCGAGGGGGAAGCCCCGUUCGGGAGCCGCAGAAGCGCGGGGCUAGAAGCGCUCCCGUGGAGAAGCGCGGCGUGGAGGGCCCUGAGCUCCACGGCUUUGGCAAUGGCGGCUCGGAUGUCCUGGCGCUGAACCCCAGACGCAGAACCCGUCGAAGAAGCCAUUGCUGCAGAGAGAUGUGGGAAUCCGAUGACGGAGGUUGAGCUCUCGAGAGAGAUUGGUGCUAGUACUAGUGGUGGUGGUAAUGGUAAUGGUAAUGGUCAUAUCCAGAGAGAGAGAGAGAGAGAGAGAGGGAGGGAGGGAGCGUGUGUGUUGGGAUUCUGGAAAUCUAUGAAGCGUUCGGGGGGUAAAAACUAAAAAGGGUGAGUGGAAUGAUUUGUUUAUUUAUUUAUUUAUUCAUUCAGGGAAGGAGAAGCGCACUUGUGUAGCUUUUUAAGUGCUCUGUAAAAGCAUUGAGCAGAGCAUUCGAAACUACAGGUGGGCACACCACUCAUAAUAGUGAACCACCUUUUCCUUUAUGCUCUUGCCCCCCCGCCCCCCUGUACUCAUUUAAGAAUACGAAAUUUGUGACACAAAAUUUGGGUAAAAUUUUAUGCUUGAAUUCGGUUUUUCUUUUUAUUUUUCUGAGAGUACGAGUACGAGAGGGUCCAGUGAUGAGGUUGCAUAUCAAUGGCACAGUAACUUAUUGGGUUCUUCUUGCUGGGAAAAGAGAAGCGUCUUAUCAAUGCAUGACAUGUGAGAAGAGAAAAGGACAAUUGGUAAAGAGCGAAGGGAAUCUUCUUCUUCUUCUUCUUCUUCUUCUUCAAGAUGAGAAGGAACCAACUUUUUCUUUUUCUCUUCUUUAAGCAGCUUUAGUUUAGUCUUCUAAUUUUAUUAGCUAAACUAAGCAUUAGGUGGGGAGUAAUGUUCUAAUAACUUUGUUGACAAAAACAAGCAUUAAAUGUUUGGGACCAAAGGGUAAAGGCAAGAGUAGGUUUGAUCUUUGGUUACAUCACAUUCACAUUAUUGCUGCGAUUAGCACUGGGGGUGGGUAAGUUCACUAUCACAGAAGAGAGCUUUGGCUUGUUUCUCUUUAUUUUGUAGCAACUUGUGUGAUGGAUUUUAGUUUGCAGGGCUUGGAUGUUAUCAUUAUCAAACCAACUAAUGUUGGCAAAAAGUUGUUGGCCUUUGAUUCUUUGUCCAGCUAGGUGUUGUAGCAGGCUCACUUUUGCACCACUGAUUUACUUCAGCUUUCAAUCUUGUGUUAAGAGGGGAUAAAAAAUCACCAUAUGGUGAAGUUAUUUUAUAUAGUUCUCAUGGUAUAAUAGCUGUAAGAGUUUACACAUUUUUCAACAGUAAAAUUUGAUUAAUUAAAAUAAAUAGGAAGAACUUAAUAGUAAAACUUGAAAUAUAUUAUUGAAGAUUAAAAUAGAAAAUAUAUAUAUAUAUAUAGUGAGUGUGGGAGAAACAAUUAAGGCUAGUUGAAGGCAACAAAAUUGGCAAUAAAUUAUGAAACCCUAGGCAUUUUGUCUCCACGCAGAAAAGAAACAAAAACUCCACCUACAAGAGCCAAAAAUCGGAAAGCCACCUGCAACCAACGCAGCUCUUAGUAAAGCUCAAAGCGAGCCCCGAGGAUCCCUGUUUGUUCACAUCUAUUUGUAAUUGCAGUGAAAUUGGACGUAGCCAUAUAUGCACUAUCCUCAAAAACGAAAAGGAGGUUGGUUUAAAAGCAAGAGCAUUUGCUUAAUUACAAAGCAGAACCAGAUUAAUGUGUACAUCGAUCCUAUUGGGGUGUUUGAAUAUUAUUGUAUCCUUACUUUCUUACGAUUAAUUAAUUUAGCUCUUCGUCAGGGCAAAUUGAUUGUUAAUUAUUACAGUUAGAACAUUCUGAUAGCGAGUCCAAGGAGAGCAUCGUUGGAUUGUUCAUGUGCAGAAGAUGUGACAAAUUAACAAUGGAGAAAAUAAUAAAGAUUCGUGAUUACGGGAUCACAAAUAGAUGGCAAUGAAGCGGGUUAGAGGAGUGGGUCCAGGUUCAUCUCUAUACAUGCCCUAUUUACAAUUCCCCAUCCUAGUCCAUCUACUCUCCAUUUUGUAUUCACCCUUAUUAUUUCGCUCAAUAAUAAAUUGAAAAUGGCACCUUAUGUCACGGACUAACUUGAAAACACAUACAUAUGACGAAAUUAAUGCAAAACUAUGAGUGCUAGGUUCUAUGUUUUUUUUAAAAAAAAACUACGGAAUAAUUAAGUACAAUAUAUAAACUAUAUAGAAGCAAAAUAAAUAAUAGGUAAAGAGAAGGGAGCAUCUUUCAGUCCUCGAAGAAAUCAUUACCUCUAAGAAACACUCUAACCAACAAUGAAAUGUCUCCUCAACCAAUAAAACCUAAUUAAACUGACGAUGCUAAAGCUGGAAGAGAUUGGAUGUUGUGUUGGAACAAAUAAUUUAAAUCUGUGAACAUCUGCAUCUGCAUCUGCUUGUCAAUUUAUUGUUCUGUGGUCUUUGGUGCCCACACAAAGUUAAGCCCAUCUAAUUUCCACUUUUUGUGGUGCUCCAAGAAGUGGCCAGUAGCGUUCCAAAAGGAAGUACUUGCCAGCGAAAGGUGGAGGCCUGCAUGUAUAGAAUCUACUCUCCUCUCCCAAAAUUUCACUGCGUUCGGCAAGGCCCACAUUUGCGAGUUCGGCAAUGUUGACUUACAGGCUAUGUAUCACGAAUAUUUUCAUAAGUCUCAUGCGUCCGUGUCGAACGCGCUCGCGUCUGUGUCAGACACAUGUGUCUGAUAUGGACACUUUUUUGACGCACGUUAAAUGCCGAUCCAUAGUGUAAUACAACUAAAAAUAUGUAUAUACAUGUUUUUAUUUUAUUUUUUCUAUGUAUAUGUAAUGUAAGAUGAUAAAUAUUUUAGUUUUUUUUUAUAAAUACAUAUAAUUUUUUUGACAAUAUAAAUAAAUUAUGUAAGGUAGAAAAUUUCUUUUCUUAAAAUAUAUAAAUUAUUAAUGAAAAUUUUAUUAAUUUUCAUCCGUAUGAGAAAUAUAAUAAUAUUUUAUCAAAAUUAAUAUUUUAUAUAUAAUAAAAAUAUAUUAUUAUAUUAAUAAUAUUAUAUUUUAUUAGCGGCGUUCAUGUCGUGUUCGUGUCCUAAUUUUUUGAAAUCUGUCGAAUUGUGAUGUUCGAGUCGUGUCGUGUUCCAUGUCACGUAUUAGUGGCUGUGACGCCUCGCUUAUAGGGACCAGCAUCCUACCCUAUUACCAGGAGUCGGGUUGGAUCGAGUCAUAUUCGAAAUAGUGAAAGACUGAAUUGGAUCCAGUUAUGUUCGAUGUAGUGUAAGGUUGGAUUGGCCAAGUUACAGUCAAGACCCGUGGACGCUAUGUGAAUUAGUUUUAAAUUUCUAACAGCUCGAGUUUUUUGAUUUAAUGAUUCACGCCAAUGAUCCAUCAAAUAGUAUCAGAACAGAGGCCAAGGAUUCGAUUCCGAUAUGCUGUGAAUUUGUACAGGUGCUCUGAAGGGAUUGUUGGCUUCAAAGAGCCCCGCCAUGUGGUGAGAGGCUAGAUUGCGCCAAAUUAUGUUUCAAGUGGCGUUAAGCUAAUUGGGCCAACUAUCCAACAGGCAAGGCUAGGGAUGCAAAUGGGCAGUUCCCCCGCCUUCCACUCAUACUACCAAAAUCUCGCCCCGCCUCCCGCCCUGAAUCAUAAUAUCACAUAAUCCAUCCUGCCUCAUAAUCUACCUACCGUAGGAGCCCCGAAUCCGUCCCGCCAACUAUUAACUUUUUUUACAAAUUAUAAUAUUAUUAAUACUUUGUAAAAUAUAAAUUAAUAAAAUUUUUAAUAUAAUGAAUAAUAUUACCAGGUUAUAUAUAUAGAAUUAUGUUACUAUACUAUUGAUAGUAGCAAGUGCUUGCUGUUAUCGAGUUUUCGGCCAUUGGGUGAAAUGAUGUGCGGUUAGGAUGAUAAUGGUGUUCUAGGGUUGAGUGGGUGGUUGGUUGAAUAGUAUAAUCUAACGGAUGGAAAUAGUCAAAAGAAAGAUCUAACGGGCAGAAAACUCGAUAGUACCAAUAGCUUGGUACUAUCAAUAGUAUAAUAGCCGGAUUACAUAUAUAUAAAAUUAAUAAUAUUAAUUAUAAAAAUAAAAAAUAUGUCUUGAAAAUUAUUUUUUAUUAAACUGUAUCAAACUGUAUUGAACAUUUAUUCUAUUUUUGAUACGUAGUUUAAUGUUGAUCCAAACAGCAAGAAGAGAAAAAAAAAAAAAACUUGAAAAAUUUUCACAUAUGCUUAAGCACGGGGCUCGCAAAACCAUGCACGUAGGCCCACUGAAGGAGUCAAUAGAGUUGCUCAACAAGCCCUUUCAAAAGGGCUUAGAGCUAAACAUAUAGGUCCAUUUGGUUCGGAGGAUAAGCAGGGAUAACGAAAGUUAUCCCCGCUAUUCCGCCAAACAGAAUGAUAUUUUAUUGGAAUAUUUUAUUCCGGUCAAAUCUUACUAUUCCCGGUUAUUCCGAAAUAGUAAGAAUUUUGGUGGAAUAGUACUAUUCCAAUACUUAAUUUUAAAGUUAAUUAAAAUUAAAUUAUAUUUUAUAAUAUAUUAUUUUUAUUAUAAAAUUAUUAAUUGUACUAUAUUAAUAUAUAUUAUUUAUAUUUAAAUAUUAUAAUAAAAUUUAUAAUAAAUUAUAUUUAAAUAUUAUAAUAAAUUCUUUUUAUUAAAAUUUAAGUUUAAGUAGAAAUUUUUAAAAAAUUUAUAAAUUUAUUAUAAUAAAUUAUUUUUAUUAAUUGUUCCCACCCUUAUUCUUAUUUUAAAAUUUUAAAAUUUAAAUUUUUAAAAUUUAUAAUUUAUAAUCUCAAAAUUAAUAAAAAUAAUUUAUUAUAAUAAAUUUUUCAUCUUACCUAACAAAAUGCUAUUUUUUUUUAUUCCCAGGAAUAAUUCAAUUAUCAUCCAAACGCAGAAUUGAUAUAAUCCCCGCUUAUAUCUUAAUUUAUACCUAUCUCUGGAAUAGUCACUUUUUGUUUAUUUCCGAACCAAACGAUAUCUAAUUAAAGCAUUGUAUAUUUUAUAACAUUACAAUCCAGGGUUAAAUUAGAUUACUUUUUUGGAUUUUUUUUAAUUUUUUUGAAAACUAUAGGACGUCCAUUAUGAAAAAAAUAGUUUUAAUUUAGAUAGGUAACAUCAUGAAACAUACAUCAAAAAAUUAAUAUAUAAAUAUUAUAAAUCUAAAUCUAAGGCUCCGUUUAGUUCAAGGGAUAAGCGGCGAUUACGAAAGUUAUUCACACUAUUCCGUCAAACGGGAUAAUUUUUUGUCGAGGUAUUUUAUUCCGGUCAAAUCUUGUUGUUCUCGGUUAUUUCAGACGCUAGAUUUCCAACCAUGGGGGAUAGGGUUGUGUGCUGCCGCACUGUACAUGAAGUUGGGACCGGUGCUCGGAGAUCAUGUUCUUGCAACCGCUCUCAGCAUCUGAUCUUCAAGUUAAUUUGAUGAUCUUUCCCGAAUAGCUACGCCCACGGUUCAAUGAAAUGAUAGGUUUUUGUGUGGAGAUCUGGCAAAACAAACAUUCUCGCAAGCACAAUGAGGCAAUUGAAUAAUUAUUUGUUUGAAACUAUUUUUAUGUAAAGCUGAAUUUUAAUUUUCUUUGCUGCUGCUGCUACUGAUCCAGUGAUCCAUUCCAAGUUUCCAAAUAUUGCUGCCACAUUCCUAAUUAGUUUACAACUAUAUAGAUGAUUUUUUGUCAGGAGUUUUGAGUUUGCCUAAAGCUUAAUUUAUUAUAUAUUAUUUAUAAGAAGAAAUCCACAACUGUAAAUAUCAUCUAAGGGUAUGUUUCUUUCAACGUAAGUAAACUUUGGGUGAAAGUGGACUUUCGGUUGAAGUGGAGUUUAAGUGGUGCAUUCUUUUGUGCUUCUUUAAAUUCAAAUUCCGAGAUUAACAUUUCCAUUUAUAAAAACCAAUAAAGAGGUGACACGUGCGCAUAAAACUUAUUCUUAUAUAUGAUUAAUUCCACUGUACCUUGUUAUAUAUGUAGGUAUAUGUUAUCAAGCGAUCGGUUGAGCUAAAGGAGACACGAAUAAAAAUAAAAAUAAAAAUUAAUUAAUAUUUGAAAUGCUUACAAGUUAUAAGUUUAUGAGUAAUGAGUACAGAAUACUUCUAAAGUAUACGGAACAUUUAUUUUCAUAUUAUUCUGAUAAUAGAGUAUUCGAAUUAAUAACCGGCAUCAUUAAAUAUAAUUUAAAUUAUUUAAAAUUUUUAAAUAUUAAAUUAUUUAAAUAAUUUAAAUUAUAUAUUCAAUUAUAUUAAUUAUCAAUUUGAAUAUAUGAUAGUCAAAUAUAAUACUAAAAUAAAUGCCAACCUUUACUUUGAGAAAUAAUCGAGCUCUAAUUCACAAUAAUAACAAGUAUUAAAAAAAAGUCAAGCGCAGCCGCGCGCGGGCCACCCACGUACGCACACGUACCUCAACCAAAUUGACACGCGCCACCCACGUACGUACACAUUCCCCAACCAAAUUGACACGUGCUAGCUUAUAUGUAUGUAUACUAUUUAGGCCACAUAUAAUUCCUAAGUAAUCAAAGAUUAAAAAAAUUAUAUGCAUACCUAAAUUUAUUUACAUUUCCAGCUAAAUUUAUUUCUAAAUAAAAUAAACGAAGCGGGUAGCGUGCUUUUUAUCUCUCUAAAAAAAAAAAAAUUAUACAUACCAAUAAAAUUAUUAAAAAUUGUAUUGGAUCCGUUAUUUAGUUUACGAUUUAUAAUAUUUCAAUAAUUUUUAUAUUUUUUACAAAAAUAUUUCAAUUACUAUUAGCUAAUUUAAAUUGAAAAUUUGAUUUAAGUGAGUUAGCAGAAUCAUUAUAAAUAUCUAGGUGGUAGGAAUACUAAAUUGAUAUGAUUUAAUAGGGAUUCUCUUUUCUAUUUUUGAUAGAAAUUAUUAAUAGCCUAUUAAGAAUAUAUUUUUAAUUAUUUUUCAAUUUAAGUGACUUAAUAAAUUAGUAGGAAACUUAUCUUCAAAUAUAAAAUAAUAUAUAUUAUAUUUUUGGAAAAUUUGAACUAAACGGCCUCUCAAUGUAGAGCCGUGUUUGACUCGCAAAGACUUAUCGCGGCCAACCUAAAAUUAAUUUCAGAUAAAUAUGUGUGGAGAAUGGAGAUCCCUUCAAUUAUAUAUAUCUCAUUUUAAUAGACCCCCAAAACUUUUCUGAUUAGUACAGCUUCUUUAAUACCGGUCUCUAGCGCUAGCGAUAAAAAACUUAGUGGUUGAUACCUGAGAUUUCAAGUUCGAAUUAGUUUAAUUGUUCUAUAUUUUCAGCUACGUAUGUUUAUUUAUAAAAAAAAAUAAACGAAAUGGAUAGCACGCUAUAUUUCUCUUCAAAAAAAAGCACUUUAACUACAAACUGCAUUUUCAUUGAAACUAGAUCAUAGUCACCAAAAUCUAAAAUUUGUUUUCUAAGAAGGCAUUUAGAACAGCUAAAUUAACAAAAUCUUUAUUGAAUUUAAUAACUUAUUAUUUAUUUUAUACAAAUAAUUUAUAUUAUGAGAAGAACAAGUCGAAGUGUAUUUGAAAAGUCUAGUUUUGGUUUUUUGGGGAAAAUAUGGCAAGCUAUUUGUUUCUUUCAUUUUUAAGAAACGAACUCAUCUUAAAAAAAGUUAAAAAUGUAAACUAAUUGUGCUUCUAACUUGAAAUUUGUGUUACCAGCCAUCUAAAACCUUAGCGAACUGCUACAUUGAUUAAUAAAGGUUAAUAAUAAUGGUUAAGAGAUUUAUAGGAUAGAUUACUUAGAUUACCGGAGAGACGACAAAAUUAUUUUAAAAUCUAGCAGUGGUACCACAUCAUCUAUAAUUUUAACUAAUUAAAUUUGCUCUUGCUCAGAUUUAUCCAUUCAAUCGUGUUUUUUUUAUAAAAAAAAUAUUAUAUUUUGUUCUAAAAAAAAAUUGGUUGGUUUGAGAUACAUGUGAGGUAAUGCUAUUGCUACAAAAUAGACCACCUAGUGACGCCGAUAGUGACGACCAUGAUUGCGUAAUGAUCUUAUAUAAAAAAUUUCAUCUCGUACGUACGAAGCUAUGGAAAAAAAAGAAAAAAAGAAAAAAAAAAGGGAAUAGUUUAUAGAUUGGCCUAUAUAUAUAUAGAGGGUCAUUAGAAGAGAAAAUUAAGCAGUAGCUCGGUCCUAAUUAAUUAACGUAGUACUACAACAAUGAAGUUGGAACAAGUGCUUUGCAUGCUUGGAGGAACUGGAGACCACAGCUACGCUACCGUCUUCAACCUUGAGGUCUCUCUCAGAAGAUUAUGAGUGCUUUUUUAUGUUCUCAGAUUUAUUUAUUUUUAUUUUAUUUAUUUAUAUCGAAAUUUUACUGAGUCGAAAAUAUGAGGAGAAAUAUUGAAUACAAUACUUUCAUUGUAAUAUUGUACGUACUAUACAUAUGCAUGGAAGCUUAUGUUUUUUUUUUAAAAAAAUGUGUUUUCACAGAAAAUAUAUAUGAGUUGGAUAAUUAGGUUAAGGUUACAUUAGAAACAUUGGAUCGGCGCAUCUGCUUCACCAUUCGCUGGAUCAUUUUUGAGCCCAUAUGUGUUUCAAAGUGAAAACACCACUCUCUCUACACUUCACCUUGGAGCCUUUCAUUUUUUUUUUUUAAAGAAUUUUGUGCAUGUAUAUAUCUUUGUAUCUCUUUAAAUAUAUACCUUAUUCCUUUCCCGCCAUGCACAACACAUUCUGGUGCUGUAUAUAUAUUCAGGACAAAACCGUACCAGAUGCUAUAUUUAUAAUGAAGCAAUCAGUAGAGGAGCUCUACCACGACCUCCUCCCGGAGAACUACGUGGUCGUCGCCGACUUGGGCUGCUCCUCGGGGCCCAACGCAUUCAUGUACUUUGCGGCGAUAAUGGACGCUAUCGGCGAGAGCUGCGACCGGUUGAGCCGCCGGGCCCCGGAGAUCCAGCUGCUGUUGAACGACCUCCCGGGAAACGACUUCAACACCCUCUUCGGACUCUUCGCGUCGAGCAAGGAGAAGAUGAAGGAGGAGAAGGGAGAGAAGUUUUUACCUUUUUACCCUGCAGGGGUCCCUGGAUCGUUCUAUGGGAGGUUGUUUCCUGCAAGGAGUGUUCACUUCAUCUAUUCAUCUCUUUGUCUUCACUGGCUCUCUCAGGUUUGCCUCACCAUACUUUUCAGAAAAAUACUACCUAUGCAUCUAUUUAUAAGUGUAAAUCUUGUAAUAUUCUUAAUUCUAAAAUUUAUAAAUACAUAUGUAAGAGAUUUUGAAUAAGUAGGGUGUAAGAUGUAUUGAAUAUAAAAUAGAGUGAGGCUACUAUGCUUCUGGAAGCACCGAGCCUUCCGUGCUUCCAGGUCGUUUUCGAUGUUGCGACUUUCGAAUCGUCGAUCGACUCAGUUAAACUUGAUCUAGAGUAUUUGAAAUACUUAGAAAAUAAAUUUUAUGAUUUUUCGAUAUCAUUUGUCUAAUGAUCGAAGGGACUCAAAAUCAAUAAUUUUAACGGCCGUGGUGAGCCGUUUGCAAGUUUAACGGUGUAGAAAUAUCCAAAUCACGUAAAAUUUUGAUAGAAAAUUUUUUAUACUAUAUAAAACAAGAUCAAUAUCUUUGAUCUAAAAUUUUAAUGUCAUAUUAUUACGUUUUGUAAGAUUUUUAUUUUCAGCCGUUGAAUUUGAGCCCCUUAGUUCACUAGGCAAAUGAUAUCGAAAAAUUACAAAAUUUAUUUUCUAGGUACUUCAAAUACUCUAGAUCAAGUUUAACAGAGCCGAUCGACGAUUCAAAAGUCGCAACAUCGAAAAUGACCUGGAAGCACGGAAGGCUCCGUGCGUCUAGAAGUAUAGUAAUCUCACUCUAUAAAAUAUAUCUAUAAACAUCAUUUUUUAAUAACUUAAAUUUUUUGAGUACAUCAGUUGUUUCAUAUAUUUUACAUGAUAACAAAGUGGAAGGUCCUGAGUUUUAAUUAAGCCCACAUCAAAAAAAUCAAUAUGAUAUUUUUUUUUCAAUUGUAGGUUCCUCAAGGACUUGAGACUAACGGAAAUACUGCAGUGAACAAAGGAAAUAUCUACAUCUCAAAGACAAGCCCUCCUCUCGUGUCUAAACUAUAUACGGAGCAAUUUCAGAGGGACUUCUAUUCGUUCCUCAAGCUUCGAUCAGAAGAAAUAUGCACCGGAGGACGAAUGGUCUUAAUGUUCUUCGGUCGGAGAACUUGGGAUCCUGCAGAAGAAGAAAAUAACUAUAUUUCGACUUUGCUUUCGAAGGCUCUCAACGAAAUGGUCUUAGAGGUAACUAACUACGUUUGUCACAGAUUUGUUUCAUUAAUUCUCAAUCCAUUUAAACACAAACUUUUAGCUAAAUAAAUCAUCUAAAUUAUCCUUUCAAUUUCAGGGGAUUCUAAAAGCCAGUGAAGUGGACUCAUUCAAUCUACCAUAUUACCAGCCUUGCAUGGAAGAAGUGAAGAUGGUCACGCGAGAUGAAGGAUCAUUUGAUGUCGCGCACGAGAGUGUUUUCGAUUUGAAUUGGGAAGUUCUUGGCAACUUAGAUGAUAAGUCCCUCACGGACAACAAUGCAAGUGGAGAGUACAUAGCAAAGAUCAUGAGAUCAGUGUUAGAACCUCUGUUUGCAUCUCACUUCGGCGAGGCCAUAAUCGACGAAUUAUUUUCGAGAUUGACGGCAAAACUCACCAAGCACAUUGAAACAGAAAAGGGGAAGUAUGUUAUUUUUGUAGUGUCUUUGAGGAGGAUAUAUAGGGUGAAUUCUUGAAAUCUAGAACAAAACUUAGCGGCGGAGGUUCAAACGACAAAACCCAGUCGCAGUCCAAGCUUCACAUGCAUGCAUGCAUGCAUGGCUAGUUUCGCUAAUAAGGCUAGCACAAUUUAAUUUUGUGCGCAAGAACUUUCUUUUUAUGCAUGUUUAAGAAUAUGUUAUCACCUUAGUUUCUUUCUAUAAUUUCCGCGUGGUGGCGACGGAGUAAUCUUGUUUAAUUCCCUGUGUCACAAGUCUCUAUUUUUAAAUCAAUUGAGUAAUUUUGUUUAAUUCCCUUUACCAAUAGUCAAGAAUAUUUAACAAUAUACUUACUAUAAUAUAUUAAUUAUCAAGAUAUGUGGCAGGCCCCUGUAAGGGUAACGGAGUUCCGCAUAACAGCUAACAAUUGAUCGCCAUUAUAUUUUUUUAUUAAGGUGAUAUCAAAAUCCGAAUCACUCAAUCGGAAUGAUAUAGACAAAUUUUAGAUGAUUACAUAUGAGCCUUCAUAAAAUUGUAAAAGAAGCCACUUCUCGUUCGUUCCUUACAAUUUAUUUUUUGUCAUUUCAUUUCAUACGCUUAAGAAAAAUAUCUAGACCAUUUCAUUAAUGUAAAUCAAAGCAAAUCGACAACCGCGCUACUACGCUAAACAAAUUCACUUUUACGAUAUGCAUCUCAUUUAUUUCAUCCUACCUAACUCUAUAUUCGCCAUUAAUAUUCGUCAGAACAAGAUUCAAGCUUAUGCGCUGGGAGUAAAACAUGGCUUAUUAAUUUGAUCUCAUCUCUUCUACUUCCAGCAAUAUAUUCUAGUAAGACAUUUUGGAAAAAAUAGAUAGCAUGUUAUCUGUUUUAUUUGUUGUUUCAGAAAUAAACUAAAUAGCUAGAAAUGAAAGCAAAUUAUUGAAGUUCUAACUAUAGCAGUUGAAGAGAAUAACUUAACAAAAGUUAAGCGUAAGAAUUAUGUUUAACAGCUUAAGUUUCGGUCCAAUAAUAUUUAGCUUCAGGGCCUCAGAGGUAUUUUAAAAAUAGGUGAUCAAACCAAGUAUGUGUGUAUUUACGGGGGGGGUUUGAUCGAUCUUCAGAUAUUUAGGUUUUUAUAGUAAGUUGUUUAUUAUGGCGUUUGGGCCAUUGGGCCUAUGGGCAAUCCUCAAAAAAUGUUUAAAAAAGAUAAGCCUUAAUUGCCUUUUCAGCAGAAGAUUUCUUCUUUUUUUUUUUUUUUGGUAAUUUGACAAUAAUCUCACCACCUUAUAUAUAAAAUUAUUUUAUUAUAUAAAUAUACAUUUAUUAUAUCUAGUGCAAAUGACUAAGAUUUUAAUAGUUGAUAUCUGAAAUUUCAAGUUCGGUACCUAGUUCUAAUUGUUUCACGUUUCUAGUUAAGCUCAUUUGUAAAAAAAAUUUAGUUAUAGCUACAAAACUGUAUGUAUUAUUAAUUAUACUAUAUUUAUAAUUACCUUCAAUUAAACAAACGAAUCUUAAGAGGAUACGGUAAGAAUGGAUUUCAAAAGAAGUGCAAAUUUUUCAAACUUAUACGCACAACAAAUUGGGCAUUCAUAAAGUUACAUUUCUCCGAUAAAAUAACAAAUUAAGCAUUCAUAAAGUUACACUUCCGAAUAAACUAAUAUAUCCUUUAAAAAAAAAAAAAGAGCAAAGUUGCCUUCAGAUUUCGUUUUUGUUACGGAACUACGAAGUACAUCACAAAAAGUCGUAUAACCUUGCCGACCAUCCCUAAAACAAGUAGUAAGAAGUUUGGUGUUUGGUACUCGAGAUUUCAACUUCGAAGGUUAACUGUUUCGUAUAAAUUUAUUUUUUUAAAAAAUAAACGAAAUAAAUAAUAUACUAUUAUUCUCUUAAAAAAAAUCAUGUAGCCUUAUGAUGCUUAGUCUGUGGUUGGUUGCACCUAAAAAGUGUAUGGGGACUUUUAUUUUCAAUUGAAAAUUAGUUUUUUACGAGCUUGAUUCCAGGUGCAAUAUGUUGACAAACAGUUUUACAGGUGGAAUAAAUUCCCGGUGGAGGGUUGGGGACGGUGGUUUGAAUAUAUUUCCUUUUCCGCCAAAAAUAUGAAUGUUUUGAAGACUAUUUUCAUUUUGCGGGAGAUUACUUACACUUCAAUAAACAUAAACAAUUUUAUAUAAAACAUGCUUUUAGAAAGAAAGAAAAAAAAAAAUCCCUUUUGUCUAUAAUUUUAUAUAUAACCAAACACUACCUACCUAACAAGAUAGAGAGAAGCAAUUAAAAAGGAUUCAUGAAGAGCGUGCUCAACGACUGAAAUAGUAAAGAGACGUGCUCAAAAAGCCGUUUCAAAAGGGUUCCUAAUUAAAGAAACACUACCUACCUAACAAGAUAGAGAGAAGCAAUUAAAAAGGAUUCAGGAAGAGCGUGCUCAACGACUGAAAUAGUAAAGAGACGUGCUCAAAAAGCCGUUUCAAAAGGGUUCAUAAUUAAAGACUAUAUAUAUAUAUAUAGAGUUGGACUGGGCUACUAUUAGUAGCAAAAUUCUAUUAUUGCUAUCAGUUUUUUAACCUUUGGAUCAACUCUUUUCAUUAUUUCUAAUCAUUGGAUUAAAUACUAUAACCCAGUGGGGACCACUCAACCCUAGGGGGACCACUCAAUUCUAACCGACUAAUAUCAUCCUAACUCUACAAUUUUUCAUCCAAGGGUUAAAAACUUGAUAGCAAAAAGUGCGUUUUACUAUUAAUAGUAUUCCAGCCUAAUUCUAUAUAUAUAUAUAUAUAUAUAUAUAGUGAGGCUACUAUACUAUCGGAAGCACGGAGCCUUCCGUGCUUGUACCUCGUUUUCGAUGUUGGGACUUUCGAAUCGUCGAUCGGCUCCGUUAAACUUGAUCUAGAGUAUUUGGAGCACAUAGAAAAUAAAUUUUAUUAUUUUUCGAUAUCAUUUGCCUAGUGAUCGAAUGAGCUCAAAAUCAACAAAUUUCAAUGGCCGUAGUGAGCCGUUUGUAAGUUUAACGGUGUAAAAAUAUCCAAAUCACGUGAAAUUUUGAUAGAAAAUCCUUUAUACUAUAUAAAACAAGAUCAAUAUCUUUGAUUUAAAAUUUUAAUGUCAUAUUAUUACAUNUCGCAACAUCGAAAACGAGGUGGAAGCACGGAAGGCUCCAUGCUUCCGAUAACAUAGUAGCCACUCUCUCUCUCUCUUUCUCUCUCUCUCUCUCUCUCUCUCUCUCUCUAUAUAUAUAUAUAUAUAUAUAUAUAUAUAUAUAUAUAUAAAAAGUAGGGUUACGGUACUAUUAGAAGAACAAUAGUCAUUAUAUUCCUAAGUUCGUAACUAUUCAUUAAUUUUGAUAAGUGAUUUGGAUUAAUAUUUCAUUUUUCUCAUUUCUCUCUCAAGUUUUAUUUUUUUUUAAUUUUUGUUUUCAAUUUCUCUUAUCUCGCUCAUUCUAACCAUUAAUCAAAAUUAAUGAAUGAUUAUGAACUUAAAAAGCAUAAGAAAUUUUGCGCUUCUAAUAGUACAGUAACACUACUCUCUCUCUCUCUCUCUGUAUAAAUAGAGGGAGGAUUAGGCUAGAAUACUAUUAAUAGUAGCCCUACUUUAACGAUGUAAAAUUUGAUCGUACUAAAUGUUUGAUGCUAUUAAUAACAUGAUAGCCGAACUAUUACAUAAUAUGAGUCUCCAUAGUGGAAUGGUAGCAUGGUAGCCGAACUAUUACAAAUUUUAUCGCAUUAAAUGGUUGGUGCCAUUAAUAGCCGAACUAUUACAUAAUGUGAGUCUCCAGAGUGGAAUUUUUGUACUCAGCGGACAUCAUUCUAGAUAUGCAUGCAAAGUAAUGUGAAUCUCCAGAAUGGAAUUUUUGUACUCAGCAGACAUCAUUCUAGAUGUGCAAAGUAAAAGAGAGAUAAUAUUAUUAUUAAUUUCAGGAAACACCCUCAGUUAAUUAUAACUCUUUUUAAAAUGGAUCCUUCAAAUUUUCUUCUGGAAUUUAUAAACUUUAGAUAUUAAUGUUAAUUAAAGUUAAUUAAAUUCUCUACAAGGUACUUAUGUUAACUAUUAACAAAAAUACACAAUCCUGCCAGCUGAAAAGUAUUUAGGAAAACGUUAAAUUACAAAAUUUUUAUAAAACUUCAUAAAUUCUUGGCUAAAUUAUAGAAAACCACCAUGUUAAUUAUAUCUGUUUUUUCACUUUUCCUCUCUGAUUUUUAAAAAUCUAUAUUUUACCCCUUCAAAAAUUAAAAAAUGUUUAUUUUGGCCCCCGUACGUGAUUAUUGUUCCGUCAGGAUUUCGUUUAUAUUUUAUAUAUCCAAAAUAUCCUGAGAUUUUUUUUCCCAGUCGUGCUGCCUUUCUCCUCGCUGACGUCCUCGGCCACGCCGCCUUGCUCCUCGCCUCCCUCCAUGGCAAGCUCAAGUCCUCCACCCACACCCACGCCCUCGCGCUCCUUCGCCGUCUCGCCCUCGCCCACCCCGACCUCCUCCCCACUAUCGCCGAAUAGAGGAGUGGGGAGGGUGCAAGAGGAGUAGGGGGAGCAGGUGGAACAAGCUGAGUUAGAACCGGAAUCGAGAGAGGCACGGAGGACGGAGGAGGAGGGGUUGUGGAUGAAGAAGGGUUGGGGAUGAGACAAAGAGAAAGGAGGAUAUUUCUUAUUUUUUAAGAAAGUAAAAUAUAAAUUUUUAGAAAUCGAAAAAGAAAAGUAAACAAAAGGAAUGUUGAGGGAAAAAUUUUCACUAAUUUAGUCUAAUUUUUUUUUUAAUGUAAUUUAUAAUUAGAAAAAAGUGAAAAGAAUGCCUGCGAACUUAUUUUUUAAAAUUCGCAGUAGUUAGGGGGGUCCCACAACAUUAAGGCGGUAGUUUGGAGAGAAGAAGAUCCUCCAAGGCAUGCAUGAGGGGGGUCGGAUCACGUACGUGUAUGAAGACGCAAUAAACUUGGCAUCAUAUGCGACAACGGUGGACAACGGUAGCCACCACUGGACGAUAAUAUAAUCUAAUAUAAAAAAAAUUAGUUUCCUACGAAGUUAUGGGUCAAGAAAAAAAAAAAAAAAUGUAACAGUCAAUUAAUUUAGCCUAUAUAAAGGGUCAUUUGGGGUAUAGAAAAUGCAGGGAAGCAACCAGUAAGUAAUAAGUAUAAGCUCGCUUCGCAAUGAAGGUGGAAGAAGUGCUUUGCAUGCUUGGAGGAACCGGAGAUGACAGUUAUGCUACAGUCUCCAAGCUUGAGGUCGCUCUCUCUCUCUCAUAUAUAUGGUUGAAAAUUAACAUGGCUAGAAAAAGAAUUGUUAAAUCAUAUGAUAAAUAUCAGAAAAGAAGAUCGUCAUCGAGUUCAUUUUAGCUCUUAAUUUGUAGUUCAAACUACUUUUCCUCCAUUUUAUAUCAAAAUUUCAUGCGUAUUUCUUAUGAUCAAAAUUAGUCAAAAAUGAUAGGGGAAAUAUUAGACAAAAUAUAUUCUACGUUAAACUUUUUUUCCUAAAAUUUAAAAAAAGUUUUAUCACAAAUAUGAGCAUACGGGAGCUUACUUUUAAGGUAACUUAUCCAUGUAUAAAUCUAUCUUUGUAAUAUCCCUUUGCAUUCCUUAUCUCUUCACUGAAAUGGCACGUUAACUGUUUCGCCAUAUUAAUUUGCAGGACCAAACCGUAGCAAAUGUUAUAUUAAUAAUGAAACGAUCAGUAGAGGACCUGUACCACGAUUUCCUCCCGGAGAAUUACAUGGUCGUCGCCGACUUGGGCUGCUCGUCAGGGCCGAACACGUUCAUGUAUUUCUCUCAGAUCAUGGACGCCAUAAGAGAGAGCUGCGACCGCCUGAGCCAUCGCCCGCCGGAGCUCCACCUCCUCUUGAACGACCUCCCGGGAAACGACUUCAACACCCUCUUCGGACUCUUCACGUCGAGCGUGGAGAAGAUGAAGGAGGAGAAGGGAGAGAAGUUUUUGCCUUUUUACCCCGCAGGGGUCCCUGGAUCGUUCUAUGGGAGGUUGUUUCCUACAAGGAGCGUUCACUUCAUGUAUUCAUGCCUUAGCCUUCACUGGCUCUCCCAGGUUUGCCUCACUAUAUAUACACACUACUUUUAGGUUAUUGUGCGUAAAUUUGCUUUUAGUUUUCUAGUGGCUGUGGUUAUAUAGGAGGUGAAAAGGAUCGGUCGGUUCGGAUAUAUAUAUAUAUAUAUAUAUAUAUAUAUAUAUAUAUAUAUAUAUAUAUAUAUAUAUNUACUGUCAUAUUCAAUAAAAAUGAAUUUGAAUUCAAAUAUGAGUUAGAUUUGUAUUCGGAUAUUAUUCGAAUAAUAAUAUAUAUACAUGGUUCGGCUACAAUGCUAUCAAUAGCAUUAAGUUCUUCGUGCUAUAUAUCAAGUUUUCCGCUGUUGGAUCUACUUUUUUAAUCAUUUUCAUAUCUUUAAAUCAUACUAUUCUACCAAUCACCCUCUAAAUCUUAGUGAACUACUAUUAACCUAGCCGCACAUCCCUUCAUCUAAGAGUUGAAAACCUAAUAGCAUCAAUGACUUGGUGCUAUAUAUUAAUAGUAUUUUAACCUACUUCCAUAUAUAUAUAUAUUUACGGGAAUAAGACACACAAUGCAAUUAAAUAUUCAAAUUCAUGUUUGAACUAUGUAUAUCUAUAUUGUAUUUAAUAAAAUUUAAUAUUUAACAAAUAUGAAUGCAAGAGCAAGUUUAGCAUUAAAUUCAUAACAAAUUAAACAAACGAAAUAUAUGUUAGAAAAACACUUUAUCCCCCUAUAAUAAUAGAUAUUAAUAUAUUGAAGCAAGUAGCUUGCUACCUUUCUCUAAAAAAAAAAAUAAAAAAAAUAGAUAUUAAUAUUCCUCUUAUCUUCUAGGGAUGAAAAUGGUCAAAUUCAAUCGGAUUUUUAAGAAAUCAUAUUCGAUUCUUUUUUUUAUUUAUUUUUUUAUGCGAAUUCAGAUGCGAAUAUAUAUCGAAUACUAAAUUUUAAUAUCUACAUGUAUAUCCUAUAUAUCGAAUUCAGUGUCGAAUUAAUUUACUAGGAGUUUAUCGUAAUCACUUUCACCUCUAGUCGUAGUGCUUUUAAAGUAGGAAGGAAUAUUAUAAUUUAUAAGGUGGAGAAAUUAAGGUUUUCGUAACCUUGUCGAUCUCUAGUGCGUUUGUGAAUAUUUUUCUUUCUAAUGAGAUCGCGUAUCCCUUUCUGAGCCAACAUAAUACUAUUUUUUUAUCUUAAUUUAGUAGACCUUACCCAAGCAGAAUCUUCUUGGGAAAGACAGAAAACUACACAGCCUCUAUCAAUUGUUGAACUUCUUCUUUAGCACCAUCGAUUAUUGAAUUGUAUCAAAACUAUUCUACAUCACGUUGACUAAGAGUUUCGGACCAAUUUAUCUUGAAUUACAACUAAUUUUAAAUAAUUUUGUGGUAUUCUGUAGAAUUAAUAAAUCUAUUUAUCAUCUAAAUAAUUUUUUUUUGUUAUUGUAAAUUUAUUUUUUCUCUACUUAAUUUUUUUUAAAAAAAUUCAAUAUGACAUGAGUCUCAAUUGGAUCUUAAUCGAUAGUUAUUUAAAGUUAAAGAUUUAUUAUUCUUUUUAUGAAUCUCUAUUUUACUUUGCCUAUAUUAGUAUGCUCCUUUUAAAAUUUAUUAUUUGUGCAGUUCAGUUUAUUUUAAUUCAAGCAAAAAAUAUUUUAAGUUAAUUUAAAAAGUAUAGGUAAUAGAUUAUGUACAAAAUAAGAAUUUUAUUUAAUUUUCAUAAGUUAAUUAUCCAUAUGAAUAUUUAUUAUAAUUUUUUAAAAUUAAAAUAAUAUUGUUUUAUAUCAACUCUUUUAGAAAAGAUUCUAUAAUUAAACAUGAAGAAACCUCAAAAUAAUUAAGAAACAAGUAUAUAUGCAAGUACCAUACAUGCAUGAACAUUAUGAAACCACCAAAAUAAUUAAGAAACAAAAAAACAAAAUUGUACUGCCGAGUACUAUUUUGCUGUAAUUAAAAGUCGUACAGAUUAUCCAGUCCAAACCAGCUCAUCAAACGGGUCAACUUUUGGUACCAUUUGGUCAACAGAAAUAUUAUCCAUCAUUUUUUUUUUUUACUUUAAGAGGAAAAAAACAAAAAAAAAUCCGGAUCGAAUCGCCGGUCUAGUUGCUCUUCCUAAAAAGGAGCAUUACCCUUUUGAAAUCAACCGACUAUACCAUUUCUUCAUUUCUUUCUUUCUUUCUUUUUUUUAAUAAUCUUUCUGGCUAUUGCUAUCAAUGGAAUAUAACAAUGCUGUCUGUACAUUUCUAAUCUCUAGAUUAGGAAGUUGUUCGGUUUAAUAUAGUUACAACUGGACUAUAAUUGUAAAUUAUAUAUAAAUUCAAAUUUUAAUUUUUGAUAUGGUUGAAUUUAAUUAUUGCGGUUGGAAUUACAUGAGAAUAUUCAAUUAUAACGGUUAGAAUUACAUCCAAAUUAACCACAUAUCCAACUAGAGCAAUCAAAAAAAGUAACUUCAAAUAAAAAAUAAGAUUACCUUCCUAAUUACUUUUUAAUCUCCAUAUAUAAUGAAACUUCUAUAUAUAAUUAUAACAACUGAAUCUCAACUGCAUGUUUUUCUAAUUACACUGUAUUUAUAAUUAUAUUCAACCUACAGAAUCAACAACCCCUAGGUAUAAUUAAGAUGUACACCUGGUCUAUCCAAAGAUCCUUCUUCUUCCACUAAUCUUAUCUCUUUUUUCCUUUUUUUGUCACCAAAAUUUUUUUAAUUUUUUUGAACCUUAGAAUUAAAAAGGUGCAAGAUUUAGAUCUAUAUAUAGAUGUACAUGUAGCAUAUUCUAUAAGAUAUAUAAUCCAAUUAAUUAGUAUGAUAUUCUAAUUUUUUAUGAGACCAAAAAAUAGAUCUUCACUUUAUAUAUUCUUAUACAUCACAACUUGAUAAGGACAAUAUUUUGGAAAACAUAAAGCAGAAUUUUUAGACCUAACAUGCAUACCGUAAUACUUCAAAAUUAUAUGGUAGAUAUGUAGGUGUAUACUAUAAUGUGUUAUGAAUUACAAUAGUUUUCUUUUUUCCAAAAUAAUUUUAUAUAUGUAUGAUAUUUUUUUACUAUAGGUUCCUCAAGGACUGGAGAGCAAGGCAAAUAUUGCAGUGAACAAAGGAAAUAUUUAUAUCUCAAAGACAAGCCCUCCUCUUGUUUCCAAAUUGUACUUGGAGCAAUUUCAGAGAGAUUUUCAUUUAUUCCUCAAGCUUCGAUCCGAAGAAAUGUGCUCCGCGGGACAAAUGGUCUUAAUGUUCUUCGGUCGGAGAACUUCGGACCCCGCGGAAGAAGAAAAUAACUACAUUUGGACUUUGCUCACUAAGGCUCUCAAUGACAUGGCCCUGGAGGUACGUAACCUGUCGAAUAUACGAAAGGCCAUAUUAAUUUGAUACAUUACGAGUACAAACUUUUAACGAAAUAAAUCAUCUUAAUUAUCUUUUCAAUUCUAGGGGAUUAUAAAAGCUUCUGAUGUGGAUUCAUUCAAUCUACCGUAUUAUCAACCUUGCAUGGAAGAAGUGAAGAUGGUCACUCGAGACGAAGGAUCGUUCGACGUCGUGCACGAGCACGUUUUCGAUCUGAAUUGGGAAGCUCUCAGCAACUUGGAUGAGAAAUCCCUCGUCGACAACUUUGCAAGUGCGGAGUUUCUGGCAAAGAUCAUAAGAUCAGUUGCAGAAUCCCUAUUAGCACCUCACUUCGGCAAGGCCAUAAUCGACGAAUUAUUUUCGAGAUUCACAGCAAUAGUUGCGGAGCACAUCAAAAAGGAGAAGGGGAAGUUUGUUAUUUUGAUAGUAUCUGUGAGAAGGAGAGGGUAACUUCUUGAAAGAUGAGGUGCAAAUGAUGAACUUAAUAAGCCUUACUUUUGUCGCCGGUUUUAGUUGUCUAUCACAAUCCAUACUUCAUAUGGCUUGUUUCACUAAUAAUGCACAAUUAAAUAUUGUGCACAAGAUCUUUCUUUCCUUUUUUAAGAAGAAUAUUGUGCAAUGGAGUAACCGUGUUUCCCUUUGUACCAAUUCUCUGUUUUCUGCGUCAAAUUGUAAUCUUAAUUGUUUCCCUUUAUCCCACAAUCAGGAAAAUACGUUCUAAGAUAUUAAUUACCAAGAUGUAACUGUCCCUAAUAAAUGAACCAAGUUUUCGGACUGCAUAAAUUGUGGCUCCGAGAACAAAGGACAUGAGUUCGGCUUAGAAAUGAUGUACGUUAGCAAAACAGAGCCUUUGAAUUUUUCUUUUUUCAAAAACGUUUUCUUUUUUUUUUUAGGCUAAAUUACAGAAAAUUCUACUGUCAAUAUACGAUUUUUUAUUUUUCCUCCGACUUUUAAAAAUUUAUAUUUUAUCUUUUUAAAAAAUAAAAAAUAUUCACUUUGAACUCCACCGUCGGUAUUCCAUUAGAUUCCUUCUAUAUCUUAUAAUAAUAUAUUUGUUUACCCAAAAUAUUCUUGUACCCUUCCUCUCAGCAGCGCCGCCUCCCUCCUCGCUGACAACAUUCUCAGUCGUGCCGCCUUACCCUCCUCGGGCGCCUCACUCUCGCAGAUCCCUCUGUACGUGCUAACACCGAUGCCCUCACGCUCCUCCAGCGUCUCACCCUCGCCCACGUCCGUCCACGCCAACCUCGUCCCCACCCCCACCGUUGCCGAAUGGAGGGGCAGUGGGAGUGUAGGAGGAGCAAAGAGAGCAGGUAGAGUAAGCUGAGUUGGAGCUGGAAUCGAAAGAGGCGCAAAGGAUGGAGGAGGAGAUGUUGCUCAUGAUGCAGGGGAGGAGACGUAGAGGGAGAGGACAAUUUGAUUAUUUUAUCAUCACAAUUAACAUCCUACUCCUGUGAUCAUUUUUUAUUUUUUUAAAAAAUAAAAUAUAGAUUUUUAAAAGUCGGAGAGAGAAAGUGAAAAACAAAUAUUGACAGAAAAUUUUUAUAUAAAUUAGCCUUUUUUUUAACAUACGUUUUUGAUAGUGAUCUAUAUUAUAAACUUAGUCCUCAGCUUCUUGACUAAUGCUGAAAUAGAAAAAAAAGUGGCAAGACAAAUUAAACGGUUAAUUUGAGCCAUUAAACUUCUCUUAUAUUUGUAUUGUGAUCCAAUCUAUUCCAAAUUUUACAGUAUAAUUAGCUAUCUUUUUUAUUUAAAAAUAUGAUAAAUGAUUUUCUUUUUUUUUGUUAAGGGUUUGGAUCAAAAAAAUUUAAAUGAUAGAUUUCGUACUCAUUAGUGGUUUUCAAUGAUAGACCUUCUUAAUCGACGAUUCAUACUGUUAAAUAUUAUUUAAAAUAUUUAAAAUUUUUAGAAAUCAAAUUUUAUAAUUUUUUUAAUAUCAUUUAUCUUAUAAUCAAAAGAUCUUAAAAUUGAUAAUUUUUAACUACCGAUAUGAGAUACUUGUUAGUUUAACAGUUUAAAGAAUCAAAAUCGGUCGCAUUUUUGAUAUAAAAUUUUAUUCACUAUUUAGAUAUAGAUCAAUAACUCUGAUCUUAAAUUGAAGUAUCCGAUCAUUCAUUUUUAGGAUGUCUUUUGAUUUUGACUGUUUAUUUUAUACCCGCUUGAUAGACUUUAUUAUAAUUUAAAAAAAUUAUAAAAUUUAUUUUUUAGAAGUUUUAAAUAAUCUAAAUCAUAUUUAAUAGUGCGGAUCGUUGAUUCGAAAGCUCCAGUUGAAAACAAUUUAUAAAUAUGAAGAGCUCUAUACGCAUCAAACUGUAGAAGGCUUGCUUAGUGUGUAUAAGAGCUUCUAUGCUAUCGGAAGUAUAGAGGAUCUGGUUGUUCCGACUUUUUAGCUCUUAGAUCAACUUCUUAGAUCAUUUUUAACCUUUGGAUUAAUACUAUUAUCUGUAGGGACCACUCAACCCUAGGGGUACUACUCAAUCCUAACUAGGUGGGACCGUAAUCAUCCCAAUCGUACAAUUUUUUAUCAAAGGGUUAAAAAGUCGGAAGCAUAAAACCCUCUAUGCUUCUGAUAGCAUAGUAGCUCUACACUAUAUAUAUAUAUAGAGAGAGAGAGAGAGAGAGAGCGCUAAGCUGGUAUACUAUCGGUAACACGGAGGCCUCCGUGCUACCAAAUUGUUUUCAAUGAUGCGGCUUCUAAAUCGACGAUGGGCUCCGUUAGACUUGAUCUACACUAUUGAAAGUAUUUGGAAACUAAACUUCAUAAUUUUUUGGCAUUAUUUACCUAUCAAACGAGUAGUCUAAAAAUGAACGGCUGAAAAUAAAAAUUUCAUAAAAAAUAAUGAUAAAGAAUUCAUAUUUCAAAUCGGAAGUAUUAGUAUUGCUAUUGAUGUUAAAUAGAAUUUUCUAUUAAAUUUUCAUUUAAUUUUGUUACUUCUACACCGUUGAACUUAAAAACGCAUCAUAUCUGCCAUUAAAAUUGUUAAUUUUGGAACCUUUCGAUCACUAGCCAAAUGAUGUCGAAAAAUUAUGAAAUUUAGUUUCAAAAUACUUUUAAUAGUGUAGAUAAAGUCUAAUGGAGCCAAUCGUCGAUUUGAAAGCCGUAUCAUUGAAAACAACUUGAUAGCACGGAGGCCUCCGUGCUACCGAUAGUAUACCAGUCUAGCUCUCUAUAUAUAUAGAGAGAGAGAGAGUGAGGCUACUAUGCUAUUGGAAACACGGAGCCUUCCGUGCUUCCAGCUCGUUUUCGAUGUUGCGACUUUCGAAUCGUCAAUCGGCUCCGUUAAACUUGAUCUAGAGUAUUUGAAGUACCUAGAAAAUAAAUUUUCUGAUUUUACGAUAUCAUUUGCCUAGUGAACGAAAGGGCUUAAAAUCAACGGCUGAAAAUAAAAAUCUUACAAAAUGUGAUAAUAUGACAUUAAAAUUUUAAAUCAAAGAUAUUAACCUUGUUUUAUAUAGUAUAAAGAAUUUUCUAUCAAAAUUUCACGUAAUUUGGAUAUUUCUACACCGUUAAACUUGCAAACGGNNNNNNNNNNNNNNNNNNNNNNNNNNNNNNNNNNNNNNNNNNNNNNNNNNNNNNNNNNNNNNNNNNNNNNNNNNNNNNNNNNNNNNNNNNNNNNNNNNNNNNNNNNNNNNNNNNNNNNNNNNNNNNNNNNNNNNNNNNNNNNNNNNNNNNNNNNNNNNNNNNNNNNNNNNNNNNNNNNNNNNNNNNNNNNNNNNNNNNNNNNNNNNNNNNNNNNNNNNNNNNNNNNNNNNNNNNNNNNNNNNNNNNNNNNNNNNNNNNNNNNNNNNNNNNNNNNNNNNNNNNNNNNNNNNNNNNNNNNNNNNNNNNNNNNNNNNNNNNNNNNNNNNNNNNNNNNNNNNNNNNNNNNNNNNNNNNNNNNNNNNNNNNNNNNNNNNNNNNNNNNNNNNNNNNNNNNNNNNNNNNNNNNNNNNNNNNNNNNNNNNNNNNNNNNNNNNNNNNNNNNNNNNNNNNNNNNNNNNNNNNNNNNNNNNNNNNNNNNNNNNNNNNNNNNNNNNNNNNNNNNNNNNNNNNNNNNNNNNNNNNNNNNNNNNNNNNNNNNNNNNNNNNNNNNNNNNNNNNNNNNNNNNNNNNNNNNNNNNNNNNNNNNNNNNNNNNNNNNNNNNNNNNNNNNNNNNNNNNNNNNNNNNNNNNNNNNNNNNNNNNNNNNNNNNNNNNNNNNNNNNNNNNNNNNNNNNNNNNNNNNNNNNNNNNNNNNNNNNNNNNNNNNNNNNNNNNNNNNNNNNNNNNNNNNNNNNNNNNNNNNNNNNNNNNNNNNNNNNNNNNNNNNNNNNNNNNNNNNNNNNNNNNNNNNNNNNNNNNNNNNNNNNNNNNNNNNNNNNNNNNNNNNNNNNNNNNNNNNNNNNNNNNNNNNNNNNNNNNNNNNNNNNNNNNNNNNNNNNNNNNNNNNNNNNNNNNNNNNNNNNNNNNNNNNNNNNNNNNNNNNNNNNNNNNNNNNNNNNNNNNNNNNNNNNNNNNNNNNNNNNNNNNNNNNNNNNNNNNNNNNNNNNNNNNNNNNNNNNNNNNNNNNNNNNNNNNNNNNNNNNNNNNNNNNNNNNNNNNNNNNNNNNNNNNNNNNNNNNNNNNNNNNNNNNNNNNNNNNNNNNNNNNNNNNNNNNNNNNNNNNNNNNNNNNNNNNNNNNNNNNNNNNNNNNNNNNNNNNNNNNNNNNNNNNNNNNNNNNNNNNNNNNNNNNNNNNNNNNNNNNNNNNNNNNNNNNNNNNNNNNNNNNNNNNNNNNNNNNNNNNNNNNNNNNNNNNNNNNNNNNNNNNNNNNNNNNNNNNNNNNNNNNNNNNNNNNNNNNNNNNNNNNNNNNNNNNNNNNNNNNNNNNNNNNNNNNNNNNNNNNNNNNNNNNNNNNNNNNNNNNNNNNNNNNNNNNNNNNNNNNNNNNNNNNNNNNNNNNNNNNNNNNNNNNNNNNNNNNNNNNNNNNNNNNNNNNNNNNNNNNNNNNNNNNNNNNNNNNNNNNNNNNNNNNNNNNNNNNNNNNNNNNNNNNNNNNNNNNNNNNNNNNNNNNNNNNNNNNNNNNNNNNNNNNNNNNNNNNNNNNNNNNNNNNNNNNNNNNNNNNNNNNNNNNNNNNNNNNNNNNNNNNNNNNNNNNNNNNNNNNNNNNNNNNNNNNNNNNNNNNNNNNNNNNNNNNNNNNNNNNNNNNNNNNNNNNNNNNNNNNNNNNNNNNNNNNNNNNNNNNNNNNNNNNNNNNNNNNNNNNNNNNNNNNNNNNNNNNNNNNNNNNNNNNNNNNNNNNNNNNNNNNNNNNNNNNNNNNNNNNNNNNNNNNNNNNNNNNNNNNNNNNNNNNNNNNNNNNNNNNNNNNNNNNNNNNNNNNNNNNNNNNNNNNNNNNNNNNNNNNNNNNNNNNNNNNNNNNNNNNNNNNNNNNNNNNNNNNNNNNNNNNNNNNNNNNNNNNNNNNNNNNNNNNNNNNNNNNNNNNNNNNNNNNNNNNNNNNNNNNNNNNNNNNNNNNNNNNNNNNNNNNNNNNNNNNNNNNNNNNNNNNNNNNNNNNNNNNNNNNNNNNNNNNNNNNNNNNNNNNNNNNNNNNNNNNNNNNNNNNNNNNNNNNNNNNNNNNNNNNCCGUAUUGCACUCUUACGAGCUUCUUUGCACUCUUUUGAAAAAUAUUUUUCUGUAAUUAACACUGCCUUGCACUAUUAUUCGCGCUUAACUGUGAACUUAUUUAACAAGCAAAAGGACGCGUGAUCUUUUAUAGGAAAACUUUACACAAUCGUUUAGCCGUUAUGUCGGCCCUCUCGAACUCCGAACCCGCCGGCGACCGUCCAGCCCCGCCGCAGAGCUUCCUGGCCUGCCGACUCUUUUGUCGCACAUCGCCGACCGUCCUACCCAGCAGCGACCCUCCUGCGCAGCCGACGCUUCGCCUGCAUUUGGAGGGGACGCCGUUCAUUUGCACUUUUAAGUUCAGAUUAUAUUAAGAAAUGGAGAAAGUUAAAUUUUGACUGAUUAUGAUUUGUUUGCACUGGAACGAGGCUAGGAUGCACUGUUAUAGAGGUCAGUUGCACCAUUUCUCAUUUCGUAGACUUCACAUUGCACUAUUAUCCCUGUUGCGGAGCGCGCACUUUUUGUCAAUAGCGUUCGAAAAUUUCGUAAAGUCUUAAGCAGAACAGGAAACAGCGGGACCGGCGAAUAGCGGGGUCGGAUGUUGUCCGGGUUCCGAGAAAUAAGCGGUCAAUUAAUGCGCGCCAGACCGUACGGCAGGGUAGUAUACGUAUGUCAAGAAAUACGCGGGAGGCUAUUGUAUAGGAGGGGCAUUUUGGUCAGGCGGCGGAAAAAGCGGACCGAAUCUGCAAAAAGAAAAAAGGUGGCCCGAUUUUGCAAAACCCCAAAAUAAGUGAAUUUUUUAUGCAAAUUGGCCAUCAAAAAAUUAUAAACACCAAAGACUGCGGAAAUACAAAAUAAAUAAAUAAAUAAAUAAAUUUAAGAUGGUCUCCGAGCAUGAUCUGUUUGACCAGAGUUAUUCUUUUUUGGAUGGAAUGACCAGCACUGUAAUUCAAUUAACUAUACGUCAAGGCUUCCAACGGUAGUGUUUGACCCGAGUCCACGUCAUUAUAUAUAUAUAUAUAUAUAUAUAGGAAAAGUAUACCAUGUACAUCCGAGUCUCCGUCAUUAUUAUUAUACAUUAAUUAUGCGACCGAUAUAACUCAUCCCAUCUACAAUAGAUAGGUAUACAUUAUACAUUCUUUUCUCUUUUUUUUUUUUUUUUUGGAGUACAUGCAUAAUAUUACUUAUUUUUUACCAUUUAAUAUCUCGAGUUUAGUGAGAAUUGGCGAAAUAAUAAUCCAAGGUUGAAUAAAUUAAUAAUAAACACUAUUUUUAUAUAUCUAUAGUACAUUAGAUGAACUCUCUCUAUAUAUAAUGAAGCUAGAAUACUAUACAUAGUAUGAAAAUAAUAUUUACUAUAUCGAUCUUUUCAGGUGUUAUAUUUUUGAUAGAAUAGAUCAUACUUAACAGAGUCGAUCAUUGAAUCUGAUAUUUCAUAAUCUAAAACAAUUUAUAAGUACGGAGACAUCUAUUAUUUCAAAAGCGCAGAAUACAUACUCUCUCUCUCUCUAUAUAUAUAUAUAUACUAGUUGUAAUGCACUUGCAAAGUACGUCACAGUUACUAAUAAAUUGUUUUAGAUUAUGAAAUAUCUAUUUUUUAUUCUAUCUAGAAUUCGCUCGGUCAAUUUCUAUCCUCAUUUAUAGAAAUCCAAAUCUAUAAUUUUAAAGUUAAAUAAUUAUUGGUUGUAUGAGCCUAUUUUUUAAUUAAUUUAUUUUUAAAUUUGAUUUGUUUUGAUUUAUUUUUAGUCUGAUCCUUAUAAUUAUAUAUUCUUUAUAGUAUGUACAGAAUAUUCUUUUAUUCUAUUUAGGAUCCGUCUAUCAACUUUUAUCUACUUUUAUAUAUAGCAUGCAUAUGUAUAUAAAGUAAUUAAUCAAUUUUAGUAAGGUGCCUAAGAGCGGAAUUGCAAAAUAAAUAAACAAAUAAAUAAAUUUAAGUCGUUCUCCCAGCAUGAUCAGUUUGAACAGUCUUAUUCUUUUUUUUGAAUGGAAUGACCAGUAUUGUUAUUCAAACAACCGUAGAUCAAGGCUUCCAACGAUUAGUGUUUGACCCGAUCGAGUCCCCAUCAUUAUAUAUAUUUAUAUAUAAUUUGACUUUUAUAAGUAUUCCCUACUCAUAAAUUUUCAUGAUAGAAUUUUUGAAUCAAUAAUCUAUAUUAUUAAAAAUAAUUUAAAAUAUUUAAAAUUUAUAAAAGUUAAAUUUCAUAAUUCUACGAUAUUAUUUACCAUACGAUCGAAAAAUCUCAAAAUUAAUAAUUUUUUACGAUCUGUAUGAGAUAUUUCUUAGUUUACCAGUAUAAAAAAAUCAAAAUUAAUUUAAUUUUUGACAUAAAAUUUUAUUCAAUAUAUUUAAAUAAAGAGUAAUAAUUUCGAUCUUAAAUUGAAAAAUCCGAUCAUCUAUUUUUAGAAGCCGUUCAAUUUUGACUGCUUGAUGGACUAUAUUAUAAUUUUGAAAAUUUUUAAAAUUUAUUUUUUAGAAAUUUCAAAUGUUUUGCGUUAUUUUUAACGGUAUAAAUCGUCGAUUCGGAAGGUAUAUCAUCAAAACUUAUGAGUAUAAAAAUAUCUAUACUCAUAAAAGAUAGUAUCCUUCCUCUCUCUCUAUAUAUAUUUAUAAAACUAGACUGCAAUACCAUCUACUUUCUACCAACUGUCCCUAGCGCAAAUGACAAAGAGUAUGGUUGUUGGUACACGAGACACCAAGUUCGGAUCCUAGUUGAUUCACAUUUCUAGCUAUGUUUAUUUCUAAAUGAAAUAAACGAAGCGGAUAUAUAGCAUAUUAUCUAUCUCUCAAAAAAAAUACUAUCCACUUUCUCUCUUAUUAUUAGGCCUUCACAAUUUUGUCAUUUAAUCAACCAUAUAUAUAUAUAUAUAUAUAUAUAUAUAUAUAUAUAUAGAGAGAGAGAGAGAGAGAGAGAGAGAGAGAGGAGUGAUUCUAAACUAAUCUGUUUGCUUAAAAAUUGGGAUCCACUGAUCCAUGGGGAACCUAAAUUGAAUAUUUAGGGCUUGGAUUCGGCUUUUGCCUAUUCCGGGCCUGCCUGCCUGCGUGAUCAAGAGGGCCCCGCGGAAGCUCCUUGCUGACUGCAACGGCGAGGCGCUCGUGCUCGGGUACGCCUACUCCGUACGUAUCUACGAACGAUUAUCGGACGCCGCAUUGAUCUCCGCCCUAUCCCUGCGCCGACUCAGCUUCUUGUUUUCCGGACAGUCCCGCCGCCGACGUCGCGACCGCCCGUUCUCUUAACAUCCAGUUGCCCGCAUCAAUCUGACAACACUUUUCUAUUUCUUUUAUUAUUAUUUAUUAUUAUUUCUCUCUAAAAAAAAAAAAAUAUUUAAGUUAUACAAUGAUAAAUGAUAUAAUAAUAUAUAUUUAUACUCAUCAUGCAGCUGACCGCGCUGAAUGCGACGCAUUCGUCUUGCCUCAGAAUACCACAACAUACGCGGCACACACCUGAGAUCGCGCAAUUCAUAAACAGCCCUCGCGAGCUGGUCGUCGCGUGGCCGAUAGCCCGCCGGCUGCCGGUGGAGAGGGCGCUGCUCACUGCGCGCGAAACAUCCGCCGCGUCAUCCAGAGUAUCAGCGCACUUCCGUGAGUACGAAACCCCUGCCCGACGACGACCAGUAUAUCUCCCCGCACGCGCUGGGCAUCCGCGCUGUCUUUCUCGGUCCCCGAGUAGUCGCCGCCUUACAAAACGUCUGCUCCGCCUGCCGCCGCAUCCUGCUUCUCCGCCAACUGCUGCUUUCGUUCGAUCUCAUCGCGGCGUUCGUAGUUGCGUGCCGCACGCCGCUCUCCAUAACCUGGACCGCAGGACACGUCUCGGCCUCCAGUUCGUAUGGGACCCGCAGGUCAAAGUGCGGCAGCGACCCCCCUCCGCGGGUUCUACGAACGCGUUGAUGUCGGCGGCGUCGUUCUGAACGCCGGGACUUCUCAAGACUAGCCGUAUACACAAAACAUGAGCUGUGAGGAAAGCAAAGAGGAGUGAUGCUGCGGAGGUACCUACGGCUCGACGGCGACUUAAUGGCUGCGUGGACUGCCGAGUUCCUGACUAAGCGGACUGUUACCUCGUUACGGAUUUACGAAGGCGGGUUGACACGCGACGUGAUCGGUGGUGGAAGGCCCGUCACGGUGGCCCCCGCGACCACUGCUGGAGACGUCACUUGCUGCGUAGAAUAGAGAGGGAGAAUUAGGUCAACGGUGCCCGUGCCUGCCCCGAAGCCAUGAAAGGUUGUGCGGAGGUGAGACUUAACAAAAGGAUGGGUGAGAUAGUAGCAAUAUCCAGUCGGUUAUCACAAGACUGGAAUAUACAGCAGCGGCCAUAAGCUCCAGCACCUAAACACCGGAAAAGACGUUGUCUUUUGCUGUAGAUAUAAAAAAUGACUUGUAUUCGACAUUGUAGUUUGAAAUUCAGUAUUAAUUCAACUAAAUUAUUAAUAAAAUUAAUAAAAUAAUAUAAGAUUUCAACUACUAUCCUCUCAAAAAUUAAAGAAAAAACCAAAGAAGAAAGAAUAAUAACACAAUAUCAUGGGAGAUUAUAACCUAAGGGCUCCGGUAACCAUCCAAAUAAAUAUAUUAUUAAUAUUGAUAAUUAUAUAGAUAAUUUAUGACAAACAAUCAUAAUGGUCAAAAAUUGUUAUGCUCCUGCGCAAUAAUGAUAUGGUUAAUGUUUGUCUGUUACUACCAUCAGUAUGUUAAUUCUGAUGUCGGCAAAAAUCGACGUAAUCGAUAAAAUUAUCGUCUUUAAUGUUUAAAAUUCGUUAAAAUACGCUAAAAAACAUCGUAAUAUUCCGAUACGAAUUAUACCGUAUUAUACGUUCAUUCAUUAAAAAUUCGGAUCAAAAAUUCGGCUAUAUUGUUAAAUAUAUAAAAAUAUACUAAAUAUAUAUUAUAAUUUUAUAAUAUAAAUAAAUAUAUUUCAUAUAUAAUUAAUAAACAUAUCAUUAAUAAUAAUUAGCAAUUUAUAUAUUUUAAAAAUAUAAUAAAAUAAUUACAAAUCUAAAUGUAAAAAUAUCAUAUAAAUCAUUCGAUAUAAAAAUAAAAAUAAAAUAUAUAUAUAAUAAAAGAAUAUAUAUCUAUAUAAUAUAUAUACAGGGGGAGCCACAGGUCCACUGUGGACCUCCCCUCAUAGCGUCCACGAGUGACAAUGCCUCGUGACCGCGUGGCCCAUCCAUUCUAUGAAUCCCCGAUUUUUCCUUUCAUCUUCUUUUUUUUCUGCACCCGAGGCGAGACCUGAAUCCGCAGCGUUGCUCGCAUCCGCGAGGGCGGCGAGGAACGACGAAACGACGUGAGCGGCAACGAGACAGAUCCGACCGUGCCCUUGGCUCCGCGCCUCGGCGAGGGCGGCGGAGACUGACGACACGCGACGCCGACUGACGGCGUACCCUCUAGCAGAUCGCCGAUUUUUGGUCUAAUUAUUCCGAAUCGCGAAUAAUUCGCGAAUAAUAAAUUUUAGAAAAAUCGUUUUUUUUCAAUUUUGAAAAAAAUAGACGGGUACUUCCUCCGUUUAAAUUCUUAUUUUUAAAAAAUAUCCGAAUUAUUCGCGAUUAAUCGCGAAGUAACUAAAACUAGGGCUGACAUUAGAGAACGUGACUGAACAAGCGAUUUAAUAAUGCCAAUAUGACGCACCGCGAAACAACAGUGUUUUAGAGAAGCAAGAGAGUUUAGCUAUUAUAUCAUUAAUAUAUAUAUAUCACUUUGUUAUUUUUAAAAUAUUAAUUAUAUAUCAACCAUCCACUCAAGUAAGUAAUUCAGUUACACGAUAAUAAAUAUUAUACUAUUAAUAUUAUUAUACAGCUAUAUAUAUAUAUAUUAGAAUAACUAAAUAAUAUUAUAUAUAUAUAUAAAUAUAAUAUAAAUAAUAUAUAUAUAUAUAUAUAUAUAUAUAUAUAAAUGAGUGAGCUAGAAACUAUCGUAGAAAAGCCGUUUACUACCGGAGUUAGUUCGUAUGAUAAAUACUACAAAUUGACGAUCGACUUUCGUUGAACAUGAUCUAAUACCACUUGAAUUUUAAAUCAAACUUCAAAUCUUCGACAAUCAUUUGCCAAAUGAAUCAAAGUUUCAAUAAUUUUAAUUUAUGGCCGAUAAAAUCACGUCCUAAAUCACGUAAAGAUACUAAAUCAAUUGAUUUGUUAAAAAUCUUAAACUAGUUAAAAGCAAGAUCUAUACUCUUGAAUCUAUCCAAACUCCUAUCAUUAUUCUUUAAAGAUAUCUUUCACAGUCAUUUUCUGUUCAUUUGUGAUGGAUAAAAAACAAUACGAUAAAUGCGUGAAAAUUGAUUUCUAGUAAGUUUAAAUGUUUAGAUAUUAACGAGCCGAUCGCCAUAGGAAGCUCAUCAUUGAAAACAAACGUAAAAACGGCUCAUCUUAAUUAACUCACAAUAUUCUAGCUCAACNNNNNNNNNNNNNNNNNNNNNNNNNAGGAUUGAUUUUAUUCACUCCUCCUAUUACUGGCUAAAAAUAUAUUUUCAUCCAAGUCACCUCUACUUAUUCUCUCUAUUCUCGAUUGACAUUUUUUUUGACAAAUUAUAUUUCAAUUUCAGAAUUAAACUCUAAAUUUCCUCUCUUCUGGUUGGAUAUCAUUAGUUUUUUAGCAAUCAAGAGUUUUGACGGACCCUCCACCGUAAUGUUAAAUGUUUUUAACUUAUCUAUGCAGGCAGCAAAUCUGUUUUCUCAUUUCAGCACUCUCUUAAUUCCCGUAAUUUUUUGAUACGUGUUAUUAUUGUUAAUUGAAUUCUUAAAAAUUCUAUUAAAUCUAAAGGUUCUUAUUAACAAUUAUAUAAUUUAAUUCAGUUUCUAAUUUUUUUUUUGCUAAACUAAUUAAGUCUGUCUAUAUUAAUUUAAUUAGUAAUGCGCUCAUAAACUUAUUUCACUAAUAACAUCAAAAGUUUUUUUAAAAAAAUCAAAAGUAAGAAGUACUAUGGUAAAAAGUGCAAAAUUUUUUUUUGACACUAUCAAACCAUUUUGAACGGCUACCUCAACCAUUCAAAAUUUUAAUCGUUACUUUCUAAUUUUUUAAUUCAACACAUUGGCGUCAAAUCUUUAAUAUAUUGCCAUUUCAGAAAUCGUCGGUAAAUAUGUAUAUUACCAUAAUAGUAAUUAACUGAAAUUUUAAAGUUCAAAAAAUUAUUAUACUAGAUUUAUAAUUAAAUAAUUUAAAAAUUAAAUAAUAUGGAAUUAAAAUUUUAAAAGUAUAGAUAGCUAAUUCAUAAUCAAAUCGACAGGUAAGUUCUUUACAAUUUUAUCGAGCGAUAGUCCUACCCGUAACACUAGCUCUACACGCAUCAUCUAUCUCGUAACAAUUAUAUCUCUUCUUUUUUUUAUAAAAAAUUGUUUAAUAAAAUAUUUUCUUCUAUCGACAUUUUCUUAUAUGAAAAUUGGGCAAACUUCAUGUAACCUACCCAUGCCUGUUGUGCACUUUCUACAUAUUUAAUACAUGUAUUUAACAGUGUAUCAACGUUCUGUUAAUGACUUAUCGACUUCUAUUUUUAUCUUUUCCGCUUCUCAGUAUUUGCUAUCACUUACACUAUUUUGUUAAGAUAUAUACUUAAAAACCUCUUCAAUAUUGCCCAGCCCUAUGUUCUAUAAAGUGAGUCACUUUAGUAACUUCUUUUGAGUUUACUAAUUUACCACGGAGUUUAACCCAGAAUCAUAAAAAAUAAUAGUUACGACUUCAAUACUGUUAAGGAAUAAUAUAAAUUAUUGGUAGGCUUCCCAUCAUAUUGAAUAUAUUUAAAAUUCGACAAAGUACUAUUGUAAAAAAUGUGAUAACUACAAAAAUAUAUUUAAAAUUUUUUUUCAAAAAUUUGAUUAUGAGAAAAUUCCAUCAACAGCAAUUAUAAGUUGAUAAUCAGAAUCUUUUUUCUUCUUCAAAGUCUUCUUCGAUAGAGAUAAUCAGUAUUUAUAGGGUUCCAUCUCAAAUAUGGCAGUGUGGGUAGCGGUUGCCAUAUAUUUUUACCAUGACAUGAUGUAAUGUGAAAAAUAAGUACAGUGGUGUUUGGAAGAGAGAAAGAGAGAAGUAGAGACAGAGAGAGAGGAACUAUAAAUGAGAUGAAAGCAUUCAUGGCGGUUAUGAUAAGUAAUAAGCAAUGCAUUAUGAUAAUGGUCUGAAAUAGGACAAGACUAAGAGGCAGAGUCAAUAUCAUUUUGAAUUCAUAGCAGCAUAGUGAGACAUUUUCUUUUUUUCAACUUAUAGAAUGAAGAAAAAAUCCGCAAACAAUCAUCCAAUCUCAUCAUCUCUCCUACCCUUUUCCUUCUUCUCUCUCUCUCCUCUCUCUCUCUCUCAUCUCUCAUUCUCUCUCUCUCUAUUCUUUUCUCUCGUCCUCUCAAAACACCCCCCCCAUUUCCCUCCAUCUCCAAAAUUUGCUCAAUAAUAACUACAUAACAUUAGUCUUUAUGAUAAUAAACAACAGUAACACCACUGCGAUUAUAACGCUAAAAUUAUUAGAUUAGAUGCUCAUGCAUAUGCUCACUCCCCACCCAUCUUCUUCUGCAGCAAGCAGUUGCGCUUAUCCUCACGCGGCAGCUACCGUGCGACGACGACCCCAGUAGUCGCCUCCGCCCGACCGCACGACGUCUCUGCUGCAAGCAAAACCCACACCGUCGGCUCGACGUGCGCACGGAGUGGUCGAAGAAUAAUGCAUGCAAUUCUCAUGCGUUUCUUACCUUACCAUCGCACAUUUGUUCAGAAGAGUUAUAGAAUCUUGGCACCUUCAUUCUACGUAUAAUAAAUUAUAUCCAUUAAUGGCAAAUUCUUUAUAUUAAUUAUUAACCGUUCCACUUAAACAAACAACAAAAUUAAUUUACAAUCAAUAAAUAAUAUAAAAUAAUAUCCGAAACCUUGGCGAGCGUUGACGAGUGCCGAAGGCGAUGGGUCUUCUUCUCCGUAAUCCUCCUACGACGGUGUAAAGGUCAGCACUCGCCAGCACGCCCAAACCAGAGGUUGCGAGCUACGAACUCAUCCCAAUUAACAUUUUAUAAAUACCAAUAGAUUCAAGAAGAGUAGACUUUUAAUUACUAAUGACGCAAAAUAAAGAAAGACUCUGUAGAAUAUUUCUUUAUUACACUAACUCUGUUUUCGAAAAUUAUUUAAAAAUUUCCCUUACUUAAUCAAUCAUAAUAAUAAUAAUAAUAAUAAUUAUGAAUUGUUGAAAAAGUUGCUUUAAAUUUCUAUUCAUAUCCCGUUAAGAGCUUCAAGCAAGAGUUAUUAAAUUUAUACAUGUAUCGAGAUCAAAUUAGCCGUGGAUUCUUGGAUCCUCAAAACAUCAAAUGUACUUUUUAUUCAUUAGUAAUAUGUUAAUCUUAUAUAGAUGUAAUUUUUUGACAAACUUUAAAUAAUUUCCUUAUUAAUUAUGCAUUUUUUUAUACUUAAUAUUUCGUUAAUUUAAAUAUAUCAUUUAAUUUGAGAUAUUCUGUAAUUUUAUUUUUUUUUAUUUUCUUUAUUGAUUUUUUUUUGUUAAUCUGUACAAAUUAAAAUCUAAAAAAUAUUAAACUAAAUAUCGAUCAAUCCUUAAUAAAAUAUCUGAAAUUAUUUUUAUUAUAUUAUUUACAUAAAUAUUAUAUUAAAAAACUAACAAUACAAAAAAUUAAUAUAGAACAGAAUCCUUAAUGAUAUUACUUUAAAAAAAACUAAACCAAAAAUUGAACAUUUAUAAGUACUAAAAUUGAACCAAAAUAAAUAAAACAAUCAUAAUAACAUACAAAAUCAAAGAUGCUUCUCUCUAAAUUUACCUGUUCUACUUAUUGUUUUUAUUAAUAUUUAAUUACUUAAAUUGUGUAGAAUAUAACAUUUAUUUAGAUCAGAUACUAUAAUGUUUUGAGUUUAAUUUGUGGAUCUUGAAGAUAAAAAAAAAAUAAAUAGAUCAUUUCGUAUGCUAUAGAUGGUCAUCUGAGUUCAGCAGUAGCGUCAAGCACACCGUGUGCGAGGCAGAACGAGCAUUCGCCUUCGCAGUCGUGCGCAGUGGCGCGCGGCGCUCUGACGGUUUUGGGAGAGCAGAAGGCGAUGGACUGGGACGUGGAUUAGCUCACGAGCGCGUGCCCGUGAACGCGGCAUCCUUCAGUGAGCGACAGCCGCGACCUAGCACCGCGCAGUGACCCGAGCUCUCAUCUCCGUCUCUCCAUCCCAGCCACCUCCCCUGCUGCACUAACACACGUCUACCGCUGUAUUGCUCAUAACCUUUGCUACCCUUACCUUCCCCUCUCCUCUCUUUUCCUCCUCCUCCUCCUAAUUUCCUCUUUCUCCUCCUCACUUGGACCCUGUUACUUCUCUUCCUCAUCAAUCCUCUAUCUGAGUCCUCUAUAGUCCAAGUCUACUCCUGCACUGCGUCCUCCAUAUAUCAUCCUCAAACUUUCUCCCUAUCUCGCCACGCUCCAGCAUCGCAUCGCCCCCACUUCCCAUUCACUGCUCCCCCCUCCCCCGAUCGACCGCCAUCACUCCUCCACCCUGCGAGCCGAAGUAUAGAAGCACCAGUUCACAGUAGUCCACGGCGAGCAGCGCUCCGUCAGCGCGAACUUCCCUCGCUCCGCGCGCUCUCGCGCACCACCCGUCCACUCCCGCCCUCGCCGCCGCCGCCGCGCUCCGCCCCGUCCGGCUCCGCCGCCCGGCUCCUCCUUGCCCGCAGGCGAGGCGAAUGAGCUCGCAAGUCUUCUUGCGGGUCGGAUUCUUGAUGUCACGGCGGCGUAGGCCGAUCCGUUCGUCUCGUCCGUUUCGUGACUCAUCCGGAGUGGUGUCGUCAGUCCUCCGCUUGUCUUACCUGCUAGCAGAGCAGGGUCGAGUAGAGAGGAGGAGGGAGGGUUGCAAUGUCGUCACAGCUGUUUUCGUUUUCUUCGGAGGAGAGAGCGAGAUGGGUUUUGACUCCAAUUAUACGAAGGGUGUAGCAUGCGGUGCUAGAAGAGAAGAGAGAAGAAGAAAAGAAGGGAAAGGAAGAGAAGGCUCCCCUAUCUCUGUUCUCUGUCUCUUGUCUGCUGUCGCCGCUUUUUAUUCUCUCUCUUUCUCUCUCAUUGCCUGUGUUUUUUUCGUAUAUCAUAAAAAAAAAUUUCUUUUCUAUUUUGGUGUGCUUACUGCUGCUGCCGGGAUCUCUGAUUGCAAUGGGCUGUCGAGCAGGGAAUGACGAAAUAAUGAAGGGAAAGUGAAGAGGAUGAAUGGGCUUUGCAUUGCUGUCUGAUUGCUAUUCACCACGCCACAAUUUCUACUUUUUUUUUUUUUUUUCGCUUUCCACUUUUAAAUAUGUAGAUAAUCUAUAAAAUUUAUUUAUGAAAUUAUAAAUUAUGUUUGAUUAUUUUUUAUAUUUUAAUUUCCAUCCUAACUUUGAUAUGAACUUACUUUUAAUUUUAACAUUAACUAACUAUUUAACUAAUUUUAGUUGUAGUCAAACUAUAAAGUUUACUAACCAAUCAUAAUUCUUUAAAGAUAAACAUGCGUUUUAAUUUUAAAGUCAAAAAUAAUGCUGAUCAUUAAAAUUAAAAAUUGAAAAUUGAUGUAGAAGUUAAAAUUUUACAGAAUAAAUAGUUAAUUAAGUGGUCCAUAAUUUAAUAAUAAUAUAUGCUCUUAUCUUAAUUAAAUCACAACUGUAAAAUCGUAUCUUGUCUCUUAAAAAAUGUUUAAUCUAAAUUGCAAAAAAUGACUCGGAAUUUAAUUUUCAACAUUCUCUUACAUGUAAUGCUAACAUAACAGUAACUCAAAGCAUUAUAAAUGACAAAUGAAAAUUAAAUCAAACCUCCUAAAACAAAAGCAGAAAAAGAUCAAGUUCUCUGUCAUAACUUCCACACAAUUUCAUCUAAUACAUAAGAUGCCGAUCAACUUAAAUGGUAAACUUACAAUUCUUUGACUGAUUAUUAUUGAUAUUAUAUCAUUACGUACAAUACAAAUUUACAUAUAAGUCCAUAUUCUAAUUGCCGAAUUUGCAUUAAGUAAAUCUUAUAGUAUACAGUUUUUGUAAAAAUAGCAAUCGUUUAUUUUACAGAUUUGACAGAAUUUCAAGAAAAACCCUCAAUUCUCUUUCUCUCCUUCUUUUUCUCUCUCUUUUCUCUUCCCUCCGAAGAAGCGAUGGAGGCAGAAGAUGAGGUGGAAGCGGCCGCCUAUUGCUCCUUCCGGGCAGGCAGCCCACCUCAGACCUCUGUCCUCGCCCUCGCCCUCGCCUGCCUCGCCUGCGCACUGCUUCUCUUCCUCUACUUAGCCUCACACGCCAGAUCCCUGCAUUCGACCCUUUUUUUUUCUCUCCACCUCCUUCACCGCUCGACUUUCUACCUAACGGUUUUAAAAGUCUCCAACUUAUCCUCUUUCUCUCCUUUCUUUUUUCUUCUCAUUUCAUUUUCUCUUAUAUCCCCCCAUCGCCCUCCUGCCAAUCUCACACGUACUGAGCACACCACAUCCUUCUUUUCCUCGCCUUCACGCGCAACGCAGUGCGCAGGAACCAGAGAGGCUCGGAAUGCGAGUGAGAGUGAGCAAAGGAAAAAAUGCCAGAAAAUAAAAGAAAAUUAAAAGAAUAAGAAUUAACCAUACACCCACUUAUUUUUUACACAAAAAUUAAACAGUCUAGAAAAAAAACGACUGUGAGUGUGUGAUGUUUCAGAAAGAAUAUUUAUUUUUUAGAGAAAGUUUACAACUAUUUUUAAAAAAUAUUAUCUCGUUUGAUAAUGAAAAUUAACUUUGAAAGAAAGUAAACUCCUUUGCGAAAUUACACUUUUUGGUCAAAACUUACAACUAGUUGGCCAGAAAGAGAAGAACGAAAAUAGUAUAUUUUUACCAAUAGUACAAUUUUCAUUCAAAAAAGAAACUUUCAUCUAAAAAAGUAUAUUUUUUGUUCUCUAAUGAGUUUCAAUUUUCUUCUAAAACUUACAACGUUUUCAUAAAACAGCGGCCAUAUUUUCGCUUGUAAUAGAUUUUAUAAACAUUCCUUUGAAUAAAAUUCAUUUUUUUCUUCCAUCUUUCAUUUUUUAUAGAAAUAAGUAAUUCUUUAGAUAUAUUACUCUUUAUAUUUUUUAUUCUUUUAUUUUCUGCAUAUUUUCUUCUCCGGACUCCAGCUUCGACCCCCCUUGCUUCGAAUUCUCCUUCUCCGACCGGCAUGUUGUUCUCUCCACUAGACAGAGGAAGAGGAUGCGCUUAUCCUCAUUACGCCUCAGUUCUCUUCCAACCUACGUUCUUUAGAGAUACAAAAAUAAAAGAGACGAAAAAAGAAACACGAGAUAAAAAAAAGCAAUAUUAUUGGUCAGUUUUCUAAAAAUUCGACCCCGAAUCAUGAAAAAAAUCUAAAAAGACGGCUACUUGCAAUAUCAAACUAAAAAUUUAUGCAACAUGCGCUAUAAUUUAGCAGUUACAAAAUAUUGCGCUGUAUGGAAAUAAAUCAUUCUAUCAUUUGCCAUAUCUUAUUCACUAGUCAUCCUUUAUAAUAAAUAAGAAAUAAACUUUCCGUUCUUUCAAGAAAUCUCUCAUAUUUAAUAGCAAAAUAAACAUAUAGGAGUCGGAACGAUCGCACCACGGACCAGACUUACCACCAUCAGCUCAAAUUACGGCUUUAGAAUUACAAUCUUAACCCCUAAAUUUAAGAGUCUAUAUCUAUGCGUUUUGAAAUUAUUCCGACUGAUUCUCCGACGAGCCAUAAUUAUCGAGAUUCGAGCAGCUACGAGCCACUAUACACCGCGGUCCGAUUGAAAUUUUGAUCUCAGACUCAUCCUACUCGUUUAAUUCAUAUUAGAUAUUAUACAUUUGAUAAAAAAAUAAUCUAAUAGUUCAAAGUAUCAAAACGAUUAUAUGAAAAUACAUCGGCUAGUAUAUAUCAAGAAAAACAUAACUUAUAUACGUUCAAUAUCUCAAUCGUUCACUCUUAAUAUUUCUCUUCCGCUCACUUCAUAUUAUUCUUUCUUAAUUUAUCACGGCCCAAAAAUAAAAUAAAUUAUAUAGAGUAAAAGUAUGAUGAGCUAUCAAAUCUCUCUCUUUUAAAAAAUAGCAUAAAAUAUGUUAGCAGUAAUGAAAGGGAGAGUAAUGACUAAUGAGUGCUUAGCCACAAAGCAAUCACUUGUUGAGCUGUACUUAGCUCAUAAGCAAAAGCAGUGUUGUGAUAGAGGAUUAAUUUUAAGUAACAAUUAAUAGAACAGGUGGUUUGGAGGGAAAAGGUGAGGAGAGAAUCUGAUGUUUUGUUUGCAUGUGAAAGGUGGUGGAUUUGAUACAGAGUUGUGAGUACAUAUCCCACUACCAAAGCCAUAUUAUAAUAAGGAGAAUAUAUAUAUAUAUAUAUAUAUAUAUAUAUAUAUAUAUAUAUAUAUAUAGCUGUACUAAAAUAAUAUUAAUAGUAUAAUAUUAUUCACUCUGUAACCAUGAAAUACCUUACAUUGAGUGGAUGGUUGAUAUAAUAAUAAUAAUUUUAAAAAAUAACAAAGUGAAUAAUAUAUAAUAUUAAUGAUAUAAUAGCUAAACUCUCUUGCUCUCUCUACACACACACUAGUUGGCUUUUCCGCGUGCACGUCAUAUUGAGCCCAUAUAUUAAACUCGCAUGUCAGUCACAGUUACUCUACAUGUCAGAACAGCAACAUUCAACCAUAAAUCCAUAUAUUGCGCAGGAGCAUAAAACAAUUUUUUUUGAACAUUAUGAUUUUUGUCAUAAAAUUAUUAUAUAAUAUCAACUAUAAUAAUAAUAUAUAUUAUUUGGCAUGGUACAACGAGCCUUAGGUAUAAAUCUCCCAUGAUAUUGCUGUUAAUAUAUUCUUCCUUCUCUGGUUUUUUUCUUUAAUUUUUGAGAGAUAGAUAGUAAACUAUCAUAUUAUUUUAUUUAAUUUUAUUUAAAAAUAAAUUUAGUUGAAAAUAUAAAUUAAACUAGAAUUCAAACUUACAAUCUCGAAUACCAAGAUCAAAUUUUUUAUCAUCUACACCAAAGACACACCGUCCUUUUCCGGUGUUAGAGUCUGGAGCUUAUGCCCGUGCUGUAAUAUUCCAGUCCUUGUGUAACCCGACUGGAUCUGCUCACCCUAACUCCACCAAUCACUUUUGUUAAGCUCUCCACCUCCGCACCAAACCUCUCCAUGGCUUCCGGGGGCAAGCAAACGGGAACCGUGACCCCUAAUUCCUCCCCUCUCUCAUUCCUACGCAGCAAGUGAAACGUCCCCAGCGUCGUCGAGGCGGGGCCACCGUAGACGGGCCUUCCCCACCCGAUCACGUCGACGCGAUCCAACCCCGCCUUCGUCAAAUCCGUAACGAGGUAAGUCCGCUUCGUCGCGAACCUCGGCCGUCCCCGCAGCACCAUCAGGUCCGCCGUCGACCGCAGGUACCCCUCCGCAGCCAUCACUCCCUCCUUUGCUUUCCUCACCAGCUCCAGUGCGUAGUCAUACGGCUUCCUGCGCAGCUCCCCCGCCGUCGACGACGCCACGCCGAACAUCAACGCGUUCCCGUAGAAACCCCUCGGCAGCGGAGGGUCGCUGCCGCCUUUGCCGCGCGCGUUCACUACGAACUGGAGGCGGACGUCGUCCUGCGGUCGGUAUCGGAGAGCGGCCGUGCGGCACCGCCACACGAACGCCGCGAUGAGAUCGAAACGGGAGCAGCAGUUGCGGAGAUGCGGCGGGGCGGCGUUUUGUAAGGCGGCGAUCUCCUCGGGGCCGAAGAAGAAAGCGCGGUGCACCAGCGCGUCGCGGGGAGAUAUCACGUCGUCGCCGGGCAGGGGUUCGUACUCCGGGUGCGCGUACGUGAUGCGCGGCGGGGUUCGCGCGGUGAGCAGCGCCCUCUCCCACACCGGCAGCACGGCCGGGGCUUCGGCCCCGCGCGCCAGCUCGCCGAGGGCUGUCAUGAACUGCGAAACUCCAGGUGCGUCCGCGAUGUUGUGGCAUAUCUGCAGGCCAAAGACGAAGCCGCCGCACUUCAGCCGCGUCACCUGCAUCGUGAGUAUAAUAAUAUAUUAUUAAAUAUCAUUCUUCAUUGAUAACUUAAAUAUUUUUUUUUUCUUUUAGAGAGAAAAUAAUAAUAACAAUAAUAAAAAAGAAGAACAGCUGUUGUCGAUCGAUCGGGCAACCUGGAUGUAGAGCAACGGGCGGUCGACGACGUCGGCGGCGGAGGUGUCCGGAAAACAAAGAAGCUCGUCGGCGCAGGGGAUGGGCGGGAUCAAUGCGGGUCCGAAAUCGUCGAUAGAUACGUCGGCGUAGGCGUCCACGAGCACGGCGCCCUCGCCGUUGCAGUCAACAAGGAGCUUCCCGCCGGGGCCUCCUUGAUCACGCAGGCGGCCGGCGAUAGGGUAGUAGAAGACGAGGCACCUGGCGAGGGCCUCCUUUACGGCUCGGGCCGGGUCGUGGCCGGCCUUCGAGGGAUCGUGGCGGUAGAAGAAGAGGCCCGACCGGUAGAAGCGGAGGCUCGGUUGGUCGUCGAUGUCGGACAGGGCCUUCAGCUCGCGGGGCGUGGGCUUAGCCGGCGCGACGAGCACCGGAGCUUUCCGCUGCGCAGCAAAGACUAGGGAGGAGGAAGACAUGGUGUGUGUGUGUGUGUGUGUGUAAAUUAUCUAUCAGGUAGGGAGAGAUGGACCGACGAAGGGACUUGGCUUGUGCUAUACUGGGUUGGAUCCUGUUCCGUAUUUAUACGAGAGAUGGACGCACUAUUGGUCGUAAGCUUCUGAAAAAUUUGACUUUUUUAAUCGCCGUCGUAUGACCAGAUAUAAGGGUUCACCCAUUAAUAUUAUGAAUUUAUUCAAAAUACGUUCCCACACGGCAUACGACUUAGAAAUAAACAGUUAUUUUGUAUAAUAUUAUACUCUCCGCAGAUUCCAUGCACUCAAUAUUUUAGCUUUUUUUUUUUCCCUAAUAUUUCUUUUAAUUCGAGCUCAUGUUUUUUAUUUGUAGGACAAAAAAAAUCUUGAAUUCAGAUAUAAAAAAAGAUUAGAUAUGAAACAUUAAAAAUAUUAUUCUGUGAUGAUUUAAAUUAUGUAUGAAACAACCAAUUAACUUAGAAACAGCAACACCAGUCUUACAAUCCAAAUGAGUUGUAAUCUUAAUUACAGUCUCAUUAUUUAAGACUUAACUUCUCUUCGCUAAUUUCAUCGCCUUCUAUUUCUUUAAUAUUAAAAUUUUCUAAAAAAAAGAUUAUAAUUCUUAAAGUAAAAAAAGAAAGCAAUUAUACAAUUUUUUGUAAUGUUUUAUAUUUUAUUCAUUCAAUAUAUAAAUUUGUUUAUUUGUUAGACACGAUAUGUGUUACGACCGAGGAAAGAGAGGGAUAGGGUAGAUGGAGGAGAUAGAGCAGAGAGGGAAAGGAGGAGGAGAAGCAGAGACAAGGAGGGCGGCAGCGAUAAGAUCGAAGAGAGUGUACUUACCGGGUUACCAAGUAAUGGGUUUGGUUACUUCAACCGAUCCAUUAAGCAUCCGACUCCGGAAGGAUCAGUUGAUGGCGGUAAGGCUGUGGAGGGGCCCAAUCCAAUCUCAAUUAGAUCAGGCCCAUCGGAACCACUAAGUAUAAACACAAUUAAGCUGCAGUCCUUGUUACUGUACUCUUUUUACAUUUUAGUCCCCAUAUUGAGGGGUAUAAAUAGUAGCAACUACCUGUAACAAACUAUGAUAAGUUUUGAAUAAAAUUCCCCAUUCUCCCCAACUCUCUCUCUCUCUCUCUCUCUCUCUCUAGCUCGUCUUCCUCUUCUCUAUCUCUCCUUCUUCUUCCUCACUCCAAUUCUAUCUCAUCCCAAGCACAGAUCCAUUCUCCAUCGAAGCUCUCGAUCUCGCACAGCUGAUACCCGAUCAGUAUUCGAUUGAAUACUGUUUAUCAUCAUCUCCAAUCCACGAUCCUCGGUUUCAUCCUCAUCAGAUCGAGGCAUCGGAUCAGGUAAGCCGAUUCUUCACCCCAUUGCGCCAUCCAUCAAUCCAUGAUUGGGUUGCGCGGUGGUCGGAAUCAUAACAAGUUGGUAUCAGAGCUGUUGAGAUCCCAGGGAUCGGUACAGCGCAGUCGCAAGGGCUCCGGUUUUGCAAAACUGUUGAAUCCAACGUCGACACAGCUUCCCGAGUUGCUAGGAUCGCCUCUGGGUGAACCUGGACAAAGGGAGCCGCUGUAAGAACCGACCCCGGUUCUUGAACUCACAGAAUUGGCUGGGAAAUAACACGCCCACCAUCUGUUCGAGUUCCCACCUGGUGCCUGCAACACUCUUGCAGGUGGAUCCAGCUAACGAUUGAGCGACAAUUGGGUCGGCGAGAGGUAACCGAUUCAAAUUCGUGAGCAAGGCGAUGGCCGAGGGAACACGUUUGAAGCUGCUCGAUGAACAUGUUCACGUGCUAGAGAAGCAACUACAAGAGUUAGCAGUGGGUAAUGAGAGGAAGUUUGAAUCACUGGCAAGUCGGAUGGAGGCGAUACGUACCGAGGAACAGUCCCAUUAUGACGAAUGGAAGAGAGAUUCUGCGAACACCUCCAAGAAGCUGGAACAAAUUAUGGAUCUGCUGAAGAACAUACCACAAGCAUCAUCAACCAAGGGAGUUACUUCUUCAACCAGUCCAGAGGAACGAGGUAUAUUACCAAACCCAUCUCAUUCUCAUACAAAGGAAGAUCAUCAUAUACAAUCUACUAUAAAUCGAUCCGGUUCUCAAUUUCCAUAUCCCAAAUUAGCUUUUCCUAUGUUCAUGAAUGACAACCCAAGGAGUUGGGUGAGAAAAUGUGAGAGGUACUUUGAAUUCUAUGGUAUUAAGGAGCAUCAGAAGAUGGAAUUAAUCGCUAUGCAUUUGGAUGAUAAGGCUGAUACUUGGUUUCAAGGAUACCUGGCAGAGAAAGGAAUGGUCAAUUGGGUAGAUUUCUCUGAAGAGGUUUGUAAACGAUUUGAUACUAAGGGAUUAGUGGAUAAUGUGGAGGAAUUUAACAAAUUGGUACAAACCGGGACAGUAGAAGAGUACCAAGAGCAGUUUGAGGAAUUACGAGCGCGGAUCCUUACCACUGAUUCACAAUUCUCCGGAAGUUAUUUCUUAUCCAGCUUCUUAAGUGGGCUAAAGGAGGAGAUUAAGUCGGCCGUCAAGAUGCUCUAUCCCCGCACAUUAGCGCAAGCUUUUGAACAAGCUAAAUUGCAGGAACAAACCAUUGCUGCUAUGAUNGUUUUAUUAUUUAUAUAUUAAUAUUUAAUUAUUUUAUUUUAUAUUAAGUAUUAUAUAUAUAUAUAUAUAUAUAAUUAUUUUUUCAUGCAUUAUAUAUUUUUUUAAUUUGUAUUGAAAUUUAUACUAUUAUUAAUUAAAAUUAUAUUGAUAUCGUUACAUAUAUUAUGAAUAAAUUAUAUAAAAUAAAUUAUUAUUAUAUAUAGUAAAAUAAAUAUACUAUUGUAAAUUAAAUUGUUAUAUAAAAUAUUAUUAUAUUAUAAAUUACUCUAAGAAAUAAUUUUAUAAAUAAGUUUAUAUAAAAUAUACUAAUAUAAAUUAAUUUUUUUAUUUUUAAAAUACAUUUAGAUAUUAUUUUAUACUUUUUAUUCAAACGUUAUUAAAGAUAUUCUAUCUUCGAAUUCAUAUUUAUUUAUUUAUUUUUAAAGAAUGACGUAAUUUUCCGAAGGUGCAUCAUUUCUUAAUUACUUAAUUAUUUUCUUUUACCAAAGUUGGUUGGUGGUGCCACGGCGACUUGGUAGGUGUGGAAUUAUUAAUAAUAAAAUUCCAGGACAACGACCGUGUCUUUUAUACUGGCUAUAUAUAUUUUUUAUUUUUUUAUUUUAUCUUCCGCAGCUGUAGUUUGACUUUGAGUGUGGUGGAAUGUGAUCCAGAUCGUGGGCCCGCCAAAUCUUGCCACGUUAAUAACUUGCUAAAAUCGCGUCUCUUUUAAAAACUAUAAUAAUAUCCUACUUACGUGGCCUACGCAAUGAACUAAUUAAAGUUUUCUAUCAUUAUUAACUAGUAAAUUAAGAUAACCGCACAUUACGAAAGAUGGAUUCUAUAAAAAUAAAUAAAAGAAACAAUAAAAGUAAGCCAAAGAAUAAAAAAAUAUAAAUUAAAAAAAUAAAGAAGAAGCAGCAGUAGCUACAGUAAAAACAUAAAAAAUAAAAAUAUAAAUAAAAUAAAAAAUAAAUAAGAAAAAAUUAUAAAAUUAAUAAUUUAUAUUUAUAAUAGCAAUAAAAGUUAAGAAUUAAAAUAUCAUAUACCUCAUAGCUCGAACCACAAAUUGUAAUUAAUUAAAAUAUAAGCUCUAAAGCGUUACGUUUCUCGUAUUCUAAAAUGUCACACGUCUUAUAGUUUGAUAACCAAAAGUGCAAUUUACUUUUUUUAUAUUUUGAUUUUAUUUCAGAAGAAGACAGAGCUAAGCAUCGAUCAGUUUUAUUCGAUCAAUAAUUUUAUUCGAGAAAAGAAUAUGUUACACAAUCUAAUAAAAUUUAAAAUGCCUAAUUGUUAAAGUUAAAAAUCGACCGAUCAUAUUUUUAAUAUUUUAAAAUAUUUUAAAUAUGAAAUUAAUUGUUCAUCAGACUAUAAAUAUAGCAUUGAAAUUUGAUAUUAAAAUCAAAGUAAAAAUGUAUAGUAUUUUUCUAAAAUACAAACAAAUAUUUUAAAUCAACUAUCGAACUUUUCAAAAUUUUAUUUUUACUAUCUAAUCUUUUUAUACAUUAGAUUUGAGUUAGUCAGUGAUACCUUGACUUUAAAAUUUGAAUGUAUUUUUUAACUUUACAGUUGCAACUAUAUUUAUUAAAAUAACUAAUUAAAUUAAACUUUAUCAAUUUUUUUAUUUUUUAUUUACAAUCUAUAUCUAAUUAAAAAUAUUAUAAAAUUAAAAUUUAUAUUUAAUAUAUACAGUCUAAACUAUUUAAAAGUCAUAUAUAAAUAAUUAUAUAUUAUAAUAAAUUUUUAUAAUGAAAGAGUGAAAAUUAGAUUAGAUUAAAAGAAGACACUACAACAGAAUUAGGUUAUAGUGGUACAUAUUUGGAACAUUUUUGUGUGUUCUAUUUAUGUCAAAAUUUUAAAAAAAAUCGACUAAUGACUAAAUAUAAAGCCCAAUCCAACAAAAAAAAAAAGUUAUUCUACUCAACUCACCCCACCCAGCCCAUUCGGCCCGAUUACAAACAGAAAAAAAAAAAAAAUCGAUUACCAUUUCCCCUUCUCCCUUACUCAAUCUACUGAAAUCCUAGACGAAUAUUCCUUCCUCUCGUCCUCCUCCGCCACCGCAGCAAACGAGAUAGAGUUUCGGCGAUUGCUAAAUGCUUAAAUAAGCGUUGAUAAAUUAACAGCACUCUUUUUAGAUUAUAGCGACACUGUUUAACUGUCACUAUAUACCUUGCGACUCCACUUAUAGUAACACUUUUUAAAAGUGUCGGUAACUUAGCUAGUAGUACUUUUUUUGACAUAUACCAAUAUUUAAAAAUAUCGCUAUAAACCGUUUUUAUUGUAAUGAGAGUUUGAUUCCUCAGUCUAGACUCUAAAUCAGUGAAGGGAGUGAAAAAUUAAAAUAAAAAAAAAUAAAAUAAUGGACUCUUCCCUACCCGCGUCACCGACAAGUGGGCCCCAAACCCACCCCUAGGGCCCAACCCCAACUCCAACCCCAACCCUCCCUUCCUUUCGCACCCCGCAGUGUGGAUCCCAACUCCGGAUUCAUUACGUGUGAUGUAAUAGAAGAUAGAUGAUGAGACUACAAAGUCUUCGCCACUCAUGCAAUCAAUUACCAGUGCAGACAUACGUCGACUAUAGGUCAUCUUGAAAUAGCCUUCAGGAGAACAAUUCUUUAGAUUAAAAUGCAAAAAAAUUUCUCAUAAAUACUCUUUUUUAAAAUAAAUUUUAGAAAUAUUUUUAAAUGGUACGACAUUAAUCGAGAAGGCAAAAUGAUUAAAAUGACCUUACUUCUUUUAUAAAACAAUCGUUUUUAAUAUAUUUCUGUCUUUUUAAAGAAUAUUUUUAGUAUAAAUUAUAAAAAAUGGACGGAAUAGUGACGGAACCUUGACAGAGAGGAGCUAAAUGCAACAGCUUGAAAUAUUGAGGAGGUAAAAUAUAUAUUUUCGAAAUUUAGAAAAAAAAACGUUAAAAAGUUAAUAUUUAUAACAAAGUUUUCUGUAAUUAACCUUUUUUUAAUUAAGGGAACUAAAUUUCUAAUUUUUUUUGAGAAUUAAAUAACUUUAGCCACAUAAAUCAUUGAUAAAUCAUCGGAUUUAAUAGUUGAAGCUAUUUUGCAGCAAAUGCUAAUAACUGAUUAAACUAUAAAAUUUAACAAUUUUUUAUCAUAAUUAAUUAUAAAAAUUAAAUAAAAAGUUAAAUAUAAAAAAUAUUAAUACAAAAUAAAAUUGAUGAGUUUAUUUCAGAAUGACAUUUUGUUGAGGCGGUCUUCGUAUAUUUCGACCUUAUUUAUCUGAGAAUUUAUAUUAGGCUGUAAAAUUGUUAGUUUGCCCUCCAUUGAGGGACUGGUAGAAGUAUAGGAAAAAGUCUAAAUUGUAAUAAGUAGUACCAUAUAGAAUAUAAUCCCAAAUCAACCAUAAAGUGCUAUGCAUAGAAGAGAGAAGUCUAAUUAGAAAUAAAAUAGCAAUUUUAUAUUUAUAUAAGGUUUUAUAUUUUAUGUAAUGUAAAAAGUUUUAGAUAAAUGUUGUAAAUUUUACAUAGAAUAAUUGUAGUCGAAAAGACUUGCUUGUAAUACAGGAAGACGGACAAAUAUAUAUUGAGUAUGGCUACUAUACUUUUACGAGUAUAGAGUCAUUCAUACUUAUAAGUCGUUUUCGAUAAUAAUGUGACGCCCCAACUUCCUAGGGUGUCACCCAUCCUAGAACUACUUUCAUCCUAGCACAUUUAACACUUUUAACCUCUUGGGUUUAACACGUCUCUUAACCUCUUAGGUCUGGCCAUCACCGAAAAUGUUUAAGCCGGUUUAAGAGUUUUAGUCUUAUUAUAUUUUAUAUAUAGGACUAUCUAUGGUCUCACAUUCUCCUCUUUUUAAGUCUUGACGUUCUCGUCAGACUCAAACUCACAAAUAUCAGGCGAUGUGAGAUUCGUCUUGCUAGACUUGUCAUUCCGACAGACCCUGACUUAGCUGAGACUCAUCUCAUACUUUCGGCUAAUAAUCGGCUCUGAUACCAACUAUGACGUCCUAAUUUUUCAAGGGAUCAUCCAUCCAAGGACUAUUCCCGUCCUAGUACACUUAAGGGGGCGUUUGGAUUGACGUAUUUGUAGAUUCAACGUAAGUCAAGUGUAGUGGUGUUUGAGUUUCCCUGAAGUGUGAUUAUUUUUUUGUUGUUUGUUUUGACGUAACUCGUACCGCCUGAAAGUUAAAUUCAAUCACUUAUGUUGUUUGUUUUGAUGUAACUUGGUGUUGGUAAAAUUAGUUUUUUGAAUUUCGUUGUUUGUUUUGAUGUAAGUAAGUGGAUCUCAUUAUCUCCUAAAUAUAGUAGUAAAUUUAUCACUAUAAAAUUUAAUCUAUUAUAUAAUUAAUUUUUUUAUUAUUAUUUAAAGAUAAUUCUAAUUUAUUAUAAAUAAGGUAAUUCUAACCCAUUAUAAAGAAAGUAAAGUUUAGGUUUUACUGUUUAAUAAAUUUUUUAGAGGAGGUUGAGUGUAGUGAAAGUCAAGUUCGACACUUGAGAGGAGGAAGUCGAGAGUAGAUGAAGUAGAGCUCUAACGUAACUUGAGUUACAUUAUAUUUUUUUACUUACAUCAAAACAAAUAACGGAAGUGAUGGAACUUGAGUUCCAUUAUUCCACUUACACCAAAACAAACGGGCCCUAAUUCUUUUAACCUCUUGGGCCUAACCACCACCUUAAUAAUUUAAAUUGGGUUACAAGUUUUAGCCCUAUUAUAUUUUAUAUAUAAGACUAAUGGGUCUCACAAAUAAAACUUUCGAAUUGACGAUUCAUACCGUUAAAUAUGAUUUAGAAUAUUUGAAACUUUUAGAAACUAAAUUUCAUAAAAUUUUGAAAUUAUAAUAAAGUCUAUUAAACGGACAUAAAAUUAACGGUCAAAAUCAAAUGACCUCCUAAAAUUAGAGGAUCAGAUUCUUUAAUUUAAAUCAGAGUUAUUAAUUUUUAUCUAGAUAGUGAAUAAAAUUUUCUAUCAAAAAUUCAACUAAUUUUAAUUGUUUACACUGUUAAACCAGCAAUUAUUUUUUAUCGACUGUUAAAACUUAUCAACUUUGAGAUUUUUUGAUCUAAGAUAAAUGAUUUCGAAAAUUAUGAAAUUGGAUGUUUAAAAAUUUCAAAUGCCCUAUAUAAUAUUUAAUGGUAUUGAUUGUUGGUUCGGAAGCUUUAUCAACAAAAACGACUUAUGAGUAUGAGUGCGAUAGUACUUAUAAAAACAUAAUAACUGAACUCUUUCUCUCUAUAUAUAUAAUAACUUUUUUUUGUUUUUGUUUUCAGGUACUGUGCAUUUUGUGAAUGCCAGCAAUAGUUAAAUAUAACUAACUCUACCUCAAGUGGUAAAAAUUUGAAAUUUAGUUAUUUUAUAUUUUCAAUUUAAUUUAUUUUUUAAAAAAAUAAUAAUAACAUGUCAUCUUUCUCUUUGGGGAAAAAAAAAAGAAGCAAAUAUCUCUUGAGAUUCAUCCCCCACCGUUUUGAGUUUGUAAAAUAUAAUUUCUAAUUUCUGCUCCAAUAAUCAAUGGACUCUUCUACGCCUAACAGUGUAUGAAACAGUAUUAAUUAUCACUGACCGGCAACUUAUAAGCUAAUUGAUUAAUAUAUUUAACUCUUAUUAAAAAUUAAAAUACGCUCGAAAUGAGAAUCCAUGAGUAUAAUGUGGUGGCUACAAACUUCGUAAGGAUAAAAAAUAAAAAAUCAUUGCAUCGUCCAAUGAGACAUCACGCGGUACUCACCUGGACACUAGUUCCUGCCAUGCUUUGAGAUUCGGGACAAAAGAAAGAUUGGCGUGUCGCGCGUGUGGUUUUCACCAGUGUAUCGCCGUGGCACAAGUUUCCGCACCAAGAGAACACGUACGCCAACAGACCCACGUGAUCCGAAUCAAACAUCACGGGUUCAAAUUAAGAUUGGACUCUUAUUAUACUCUAAUGACUAUAUAUGGCAUCUACCAUGUUAGGUAUUACUUAUUAAAUAUAAAGUGUAAUGCAUUAUGCAUGUGGUGCACACUUGCAAACUAUUUUACGAUUAAGAGAUUUAUACAAGUUCUUUUAUAUAUAUAUAUAUAUCAAUAUCAUUUAAAUAUGCACAUCAAAAGAAUACAAAAAAUAAAAUAAUUCUGCUUGCAUUUAUUUAUUGUUUUUAAAAAUAAAGCAUGCAACAUGCAACAUGCAUCUUUGUUCUUUUUAAAUCCAAGGAGCAUUAUUAAAUGGUAGCCCCUUCCGUAACGAGACAGAACAAUUUAUAAAUCUAACGAAUUGUCAAAAAUAAGAACCACGAGGGGCAGAACAUGUGCAAGGUCAAAAAUGGCGAAGCAUAUGUGGGGGGUAUAUAUGCGUCCGUGCGUACGUACAUGAGUUACACAUGUCGUAGGAAAAACACUUACAGGGGCAAAAAAAUAAAAAACAGUACUACAACUACAACAAUCCUUAGCAGAGAGGAUAUGUACUAUGGCCUAUGGGGCCGGGUAGCAUUCGGCUAUAUAUAGGGUGGCAUGGAGUUGCUAAGAUGCAUGCAAGCAUAUAUAUACAGCGGAAGUUCAUUUUUAAGAACACAGCAUUAGAAAGCUAGCUAGCUAGCUAUAGUACGUGUACUUUUGCUCUUCAAGUUCUUAACCAACUGCGACGAUGAAGGUGGAGGAAGUGCUCUGCAUGGUUGGAGGAACCGGAAGCAACAGCUACUAUGCUACUGUCUCCAACCUCCAAGUCUCUCUCUCUCUCUCUCCACAUUUUUCCUUUUAUAUAUACAUAUAAUAUUAGUUAAGACAAAUUAAAAAAAUACUUUAAAUUAUUAUUGAUAAGUCUGCAUUAACAUUUGAUUGUCAGCAUAUAUAUUAUUUACCGACCGUCCCUAAAGCAAGUGGCAAAGGAUUUGGUGAUUGGUAUCCGAGAUCACCUAAAUUCGAAUCUUAGUUGAUUCACAUUUCUUGCUAAGUUUAUUUCUAAAUGAAAUAAACGAAGN